rnacentral:lncRNA from 1 species
UUUACUUGAAAAUAGGCACUAAAAAUGACCUAAAUAAACAAUACAAAAUGAAGCAAUUAGAAACAGUUAGUCAUGAAACAAUAUAUACAAGGUUCAGGCAAAACGUCUAAUGCACUUGAAUUAGACAGAAUUCGGGAAUAAAACAAUUUAAACACAUAAUUAAUACUGGGGAUGCGUCAAGAAAAAAUCAAAAAUUAAAAAACAUGGAAAGCAACAUAACCCAUGAGAUAAUGUAUAUAGAAGAGCUUUUUAAGGUUUCCUAGGUUAAACCAACAUAAAUAAAUAUUAUAGCAUCUCACUUUCAUUUGUUUAACCAUAACAUUGUAUUUUCAUUUUUUUUUUUCUUAUUAUGGCAUUGUGCUUUGAAAUGUGCACCCAGUUAUAAUAUUGUUCUUCAAAAAUAAUUCUUAUUAGCAUGCUGUACUUAGAAAAUCAUCCAAAUAAUAGCAGUGAGAAUUGCUUUUUACAAUGUUCAGGCAGAAUACAAUAUGCGACACUCACUCGGAAGAAGAGUUGCUGAUUUUGAGUUCUUUACCAAAUUUACAGUUAUUAAAACUGAAUAAGACUAUUGCCACAUGCUACAACUCACAUCUUUAAGGUUGUUAUUCAUUUCAGUUGCAACUAGUGCCAUCUCUAAUGUGUAUAACAUGAAAUAUCUGUGUUGACGUUUACAUGAAAAUAAACUAUUACCCUUUUUCUGUAAAAAAAAGGCAAUUGAUAUCAUGAACCAUAUCAGUCUUAUAAUCACAGCUGUAGUCGUAUUUACUUAUCGUCAUGGAAAACAAUCUAUAUCCACAAACUUGUAUUUUUUGGUCUUGGGAUAAUUUUCAAUUUUUCUUGAUCAAUAUAAGUGGUUUUGGGCUACUUUCCAUGAAAUACGUAAUUCUAUUUAAUCAGUUAGAAGUCACUACUACAAAAGACUUGGAAGCCAAUGGACAGUUUGCAGCCACAAACUGGUAAGCUCUGGGCCUCGCCUAUCUUUUUCUUUUUUUUAUCAAUCAAAAUUAAAUGGUGUAUACGGCACCUAUAGUUAGCAUGUUACAAUCAUAUUUUAUCCUAAAAUAUCUUAAAUAUAAUUAGAUUUAUACAUUAAAGAAAUUAUAUAAUAGUUUUUUGAGUAAACCACAUAAUGGAGUCCUGUGGUUUCGGUUUUGGUCCCCAACCGAGUUAAUAUGACUAUCUUGCCCUCAAUGAUAAAUUUCUGUAAGUUUUUAAAUCAUUUUUUAUUAUGUUAUUAUUAUUAAAUAGAGUAAAGAAUUAUUAACGUCUAAAAUGGACCCACCCAUCAACCCCACGUCGCUUGUCUUCAUCAGAGAAAUAUCACGGCCGCCAGUUUCAAAUUUCAAUGGUCUAAAAUGGUCACUCGUUGGAGUAAAAAGAAGUGAUCUAGGACUGUGGAGUAAAGAGACCUUGAGGAGAUAACAAGAGUGUGGGAGUGGGGGCAUUGUAGGACCCAAUGUUUUAAUAAUAAUAAAAAUAAUGUAUAUAAAAUAAUUAACAAAUAAAAAAUCUAGUAAGGGCAAAAAAGCAUUUUUAGGACAAGAAUCGUAACAAAACAAUACCACAUGGAUAGUCCGAGUUAAAUCCAACUUUGAAGUCAACAAAGUAAACCCCAAAUAAAAUAAGAAAAAAAAAACUUCUAUUUAACCAUAUCUUAAAAAAAAAAAAGGAUCAUCAAAGUAAUAUUUAUCGUUAAUUUAAUAAAUCAAAUUUGUAAACAUAAAAAUAUUGAAAACAUUUGAAAAGGAUUUGUGUGAAUAAAAGAUACCAAAUAAAGCAAACCUUACAUCAGUACAAAAGUUAACAAAAUUGAAAGAAUUACAAAUUUCUACAGGAAUACCAUAUUCCAUUCCAUCAGACACAACAAACAUACUUUCAGAAUCCAAUGUAAUAAACGAUUCCGAUUCCAUCAAACCAGAAAACGAAAAUAAAAAUUAGGGUUUACCUGAGUGUGAGCAAGAACACGGAUGACAUUGCAGUACUUCUUCAUCUUCUCCAGCUGUGACUGGAUGUCUCUCUUUCCUGUUUCAGUUUCAUCUUUCUUUGAAUAAUUUGUAAAAGCUUUCUUUUUUUGAUUUGCACUCAGAUGCUUUUAUAAAAUCUCCUCUUGAUGUCUUCACUCAGAUGCUGGGCCCACACUGUGUUCGAGCUGCGGAGCCCACGUGGGGUCUUGACAUACCCCAACAACCACCAUUGGGGGUGUUUCAAUGAUUGUCACUGCCUCACAUGUCUCUUUCUUGUGGAGUUCUAAGAUAAAAGGAAUGAAAAUUUAUUACACAUAAAGUAGUAAAUAGUAUGCUAUCCUUCUGAACUUUUAUGGUAUUUAUCGAUGAAGUGCAGAGAAGUAAAAAUUAGUUGGUAAAUUGUAUUUACAGUCGCCAAGUUUAGCUGAUUUUUCAGUUUUAGUACAAAGAAGACCACAUGUAAUUUUGGUCCUUAUUUUGAGGUUUUGGUAAUACUCUGUGCCUCUUUUUUUAAAUAUAUACCAACACCAAAACAUAAGAGAUUAUGGUUAACGGAAGAGAAAUAUAACAAACAUUUUAAAAUUGAAACCUUUAACAACAUCCACAUUACAAACAUAGAUACAAAUAGUUUCAUUAAAACAAAAACUUCAUUGAUAACAUAUAUCUGAGAAUUACUUGCAUUCCAGAGCGCCUAUACAGCUUCUCUUCCUCUCUUGAUCUUGGCAACGCUUACCAUGACUCCAACGUAUAUCUUGUCCAUGAUUUUCUCAACAAACAUGAAAAGCCUCCAUCUCCACUGCUUCUUCAACAACAGAACUCCAAUUACACCCCAAAAACCUGUUGCAAAUCCACUCAUGAUGUCUGAGUAAAACCACCAUACCUUGAUUGACUCCUCAGCUGCUUUAUGUUUCUUCUUGGGCUUUGCUGUUGUUGUUGGGUCUUGAUGAUCUGAGCAAUUGUUUGUCAAUGGAGGUCCACAAAGAUCUCUGUUCCCAGAAUAUAUUGAUGGAUCAUCAUUAAGGGUCUGCAACUGAUGGCCUGUUGGAAUUCGUCCCCACAAGUUGUUGUGUGACAGAUUCAGAUGGCUCAAAAAAGUCAAAGCUGCCAUGCUUGGAGGGAUCGUCCCGGUCAACUUGUUUCCAGAUAAAUCAAGAGAUUCUAACCUCGUCAUGUUCCCAAUGCUGUCUGGAAUAUUCCCACUGAGAUCAUUAUUUGACAAAUUGAGACCCAACAACAUACGAAGUGCAGUUAGCUCCACUGGUAUAUCUCCAACAAGUUUAUUGCUUGAAAGGUCCAUGUUAUAAACUAUAUCCAAAAUUCUUGCAUAUACAAGAUCAACACCUUUCAUAACCGGAAUCACAUUCUCAUUAGAAUCAGCCCAACCAUUAUUGUCAUACCACUUUUCUGCACCAUUAACCAUUGCAUUCAACUCUCUUAGGCAAUGAGGGAUGAUACCCGUUAAGUUGUUGUAUGCAACAUCCAAAAUUUGAAGAUUUGACAUUUUGCAUAAAGAUUCAGGAAUUUCCCCGGUAAAGUUAUUCUUGUGUAAUCUUAAAACAAUCAAACUUGUCAGGUUUUCUCCAAUCCAGUGGGGUAUCUUUCCAAACAAUUGAUUAUCACCCACAUCUAGGACUCUUAAAUAUCUUAAAUUCCCCAACUCUUGAGGAAGUUCACCAGUAAAGUUGUUGUCAUUUAAUUUUAACCAAUGCAAUGAUGAAUGACUAAGUGCUAUAUAGCUUGGAAUGACACCUGAAAGUAAAUUUGAGCUAAAGAUCAUGGCACCCAACCAUUUCAGAUUCUGGAGACACUUGGGAAUUUUCCCUGUUAACCUAUUUCUGGAAAGAUCAAGUAAAACUAAAUCUGUCAUUCUGCACAACAACUUUGGAAUUGACUCAUUGAAAAUGUUAUUUGCUAGUAUUAAUGCCAGUCCUAUUUCUGGAAGGUUUGUCAAUGGUCCGCUGAGUUUGUUGUGAGAGAGAUCUAAGAAAUCAAUGACAGGCAUCUUCCGCAACCAUGUGGGCAGAGGUCCCGAAAUUGAAGCAUUCGACAACACUAACUCAGAGAGCAAGAACUGAUUUCGUAGCCACUGUGGCAAUCCAUUUGUGAGAUUGCAGGAACUGAGAUCAAGAUGAUACAACUGGAAUGGAGGUAUCCACUCACGUGAGACAUUGAAUGCCAACUUGGUGUUAGAAGAAGCAUCCAAGUGCUCCAACAUCGAAAGGUUAGCAAAAUGGGCUUCAGAAACUACUCCUUCUACGGAAUUGUCUGAGAUAUCUAGAUAUUUGAGUUUGGCAAGUUGCCCAAUUGAAACCGGAAUAGUCCCAUUUAACAAAUUUGAAGAAAGAAAAAUAUCUUGUAAUGCAACAAGUCUUCCUAGAGAUGCUGGGAUGGGGCCCGUUAACCGAUUGGAUCCUAGAUUCAAAUGUGUUAAAGCUGAUAAAUUUCCAAAGGAUUCUGGAAUUGAACCAUUCAAUUGGUUGGAAGAAAGGUCAAGUCUGGAAAGAUUCCCAAUGAAUGUAGGAAUGGGACCGAUCAACUGGUUAUUAGAUAGAUCUAACAUUUCUAAAUGUCUUAGUCUUCCUGCAAAUUCGGGGAUUGGACCUGUCAAACUGCUCAUUGAUAGAUCUAAGUGUCUUAAAUCGGUUAGUCUUCCAAGUGCUUCUGGAAUCGUACCAUUCAAAGAACCACUUAAAUCCAACGACUCCAAAGCAUAUCGGGAGCAUUCCGAUGUGUUUUGUGGUGAGUCAUUCAUUUCUAUUUCAAAAAGAUUUCCAUAUGCAGCCAAUGUUUUCAGGUGACAGUGUCUCCAGAUUCCAACAUCCUCAAUAUUCUUAAAAUGGUUAGAAGAAAGAUAAAGCUCUAGAAGGUCAGGCAUAAUUGGAACCCAAGAAUGCAGCAUGUUUCCUGAGAGAUCAAGGACUCUUAAGGAACUCAUGUUUGUGAAAAAAGAUGGAAUUAUGCCUUCAAUUGAAUUUUGGCUAAGAUCCAGGUGUUGUAUGUUAGAAAGCAUACUGAUAUUAAAAUGAGCGGAGGAUAGAAAAGUCUUAUUAUCUAGCCAACAACUUGAAAAAUGCAGCUCUGAUAAAGAGGAAGGGAUCAUGUUUAGCAAGUUUGCAAAGUUCCAUGACAAACUAAGAUUAAAACCAGAAAGAUCCAGAAAUUCAAGGGAUGUCAUGUUUUGGAAAAAUCCAGGGAGUGAAGUUUUCAAAGAAUUAAAGCCAAGAUCAAGGUGUUGUAUGUUGGCAAGAAUUCUACUCGAAUUAAGAAAAGGACCAAGAUGGACAUUGGAAAGUCCACAACCAUGCAAACUUAACUCUUUUAAUGAACGAAGAUUGUAAAGCACCUUGUCCCAACCACUAAGAUUCAACCAACUCAAGUCAAGAUGCUCGAGUGAUGAAAGGCCAAAAGUCCAUGACAUAUCAUCUGACAUCAGCUCACCAUUCCAACUGAGAUCCAAAACCUUUAAAUUAGAAAGAUUUCCAAUGUGAGGAGGAAUAAUACCUUGAAAACCAGCAGCAGAGAGAUUGAGGUACAUCAGCUGUUUGAAGGAUCCAAUGAACUCAGGGAACCGGCUUCCUCCAAAAUCAUUCCGACUCAAGUCCAGGUACUUGAGAUGCCUCAACUCAGCCAAUGAAGAGUUCACCGCAUUACCAACUAAGUAGUUGUCUCCUUCGCUACCAUAAUAGUAAUCUCCAUUGAGAUUGAGGCUGUCAACGGUUCCAGUGAGACUGUCACAGUGGAUUCUUUCCCACAGGCAACAAUCCUCCCCCACCCAUGAUGACAACAUUCCAGAAGUAUCUUCAACACUCCCUUUGAACUUGAGAAGAGCAAGUCGCUCUUUUUGAGAGCAGGCGACACUGACAUUUCCAACACCAAAACAAGAAUAUUUGUUUGCAACCAAAAAAACACAUACGAAAAUGAGAUGGAUCCCUAAACCCCUCCGAAUUCCCAUUAUUAACCCUCCUUAACUAACUUGGUUUAAUUUAGAAGGAAGUUGAAGUGGAGAGAUAGGUUGUUACAUUGAAGAAACUACUGCAUUUAUAAUGCCAUAAAUGAAAAACAACUUAUUUCCAUGAAAGACUAGAAGUUAAUGGACAUUUGGAUGCACAAGUUGUAUUUUUGUGGUACACAUGGUAGAUGCAAUUGUAAAUGGAAACAAUUCUUUUAAAAAUAUAAAAUAAAUGAAACCCAAUAAUUGACAAACAAGCAUUUAGAUUUUCAAGAAGUCUAAGAUUAUUUUAUAAUAUUUUGUAAAUAGUAGUUAUAAAUUAUAAAAUUAAUUUUGAUGUUCAAUCAUUUUACAAAACUAACUUCAAGAAAAUAAGUUUUUUGUUAUUAUUUGACUUGACAAGGUUGAUGUGUCAAGCUUAAUUAAAAGAUACAUUAUGUAACUCCACAUUAAAGAUAUUAUAUAUUUUUUUUUUAUAAAAGAUGUGUUUUCUCAAAUGCAUUACAAUUUCAUUAGACAUAACAAUUUCAACCCAUUUAAUUGAAAAAUAGGUAUUUGUUAUAUUAAUAAUAAAAAUACCUAUUUUCAUAAUAAUAUAAAUAGAUAAAUAAAGAGACGUUGAGGAGAUAAAAACGGGGCGGGUGGGGGUUGGGGAAUUUAUGGGAUCCAAUAUUUUAAUAAUAAAAAAAUAAAGUACAAAAAAUAAUUAAAGAUAUAAAAAAUCUAGUGAGGGAAAAAAUGUAUUUUUAGGGCUGUUAGGGAUAAAAAUCAUAAUAAAACAAUACCACAUGGAUGGUCCGACUUGAGAAAUAAUAAUAUUAAAUAAGGGACCAAGCAUACACAUUACCUUAAACCAUAGGGACCAUUCAUGCAAUUUACUCUAGUUUUUCUUUUAAAUAUGAUACCAAUAUUUUUAGAAUUGUUUUUGGCUUUUCACAUAUCGGUGUUAGUGAAUUGAAACACUAUUGAGGAAUAGUGUAUGGCCCAUGGCACAUGUAAAUGCAUUUGGCAAAAAAAAAAAAAAUCUUCCACACAAAGACAUUGAAGUCAGCAAAGUAAACCCACUAAUCACACCCAUAAACAAAAAACAUGGAGGACACGAAUGAUGCACUAAGUAUGCAUCUUUCUUGUGGAAUUUUCCAUGAAACUUCUCUGUAUUCCUCUUUAAUAUUAUUAUUUGUAUCUUUUUAAUCUAAAAUAAAUUACAAUCAUAUUUUAACCUAAAAUAUCUUUAAUAUAACUACAUCUAAACUUCCAUAAACACGUUAAAAAUAGAAACGAAAGAAAAAAUGCACAUAAACCAUCACUGUGGUAGUUCACAGGAAGCACAAGUUUAGGGACAGUAGAAACCAUAUCAGGUACUUAAUGAUCUUACACUUACACAUGUGCAAACUUUGACAACAUGCAAUGCCUACUGAAAAAGGUUUAUUUACUAAUGCGAAUUAAAAAAUAAAAAAAUCUAUUGACCUACAAUAAUUAUGGUAUCAUGUACCAGUAGAUAUCAAUACAAAACCUAAUCUAAUAAUAUUGGGAGCAAUUACACACAUACAUUAUGCAUAUAUAAUAUGUGGCCUAGUAAAACUAUGCACACAUAAAUAAAUAAAAAUUCAUUUGUAGGAACUGCUUUCAUAGCAUAUGAAGAAGAACCAGUUCCAAAUAUAGCAGCAAUACGAAAACCUGUUUUUAUUUUUCCAAUUUUCACACAGUAAACAAAAGCAAGAGAAAAUAGAGGCUUUUCACGAGCACAGGUCAACAUAGGACUAUAGUCUAUAGGUGAUUCGUUGAUACAAUAAAAAAAUACAAACACUUUUAAGUAUCAAAGGAUCUACUGAGAAGCAGAGGUUUAAUUGAGCUUGAAGCAUUUCCUCCCUUAAACAGGUAAUUACAGAUUACGUGGUGACAUUAUAUCUACCAUUAGGAGCUGCAAGUGUGUUGAAAAACAGAGGCUAUCACCAUCUGCUUAUAUGCAUCAUUACCUUCUCUGUGUUACAGGUCCCAAUUUGUGUGACAAUUAGGUCAGACAGAAUCAUAAAAGUAUAGAUGGAUCAUUUUCCCAGUAUACAUCAAUGCAAUUGGAUUAUAUUACACAUAAAAACAUAUAUGCAUCGUUUUCAAUAGCCCUAAAUUACUAUCUUUUUUAUCUUACAGGUCCCAAUUUGUGUGCUGAAUUUUCUUAAAAAAACAAAUACAGCAAAGUUCAUAAAAUAUAGAGAAUUAGGUCAAAGAAAAAAAGAAAAUCGGAAAACAUACCAAGUGAACACCAUAUGAAUCGGUAGUGUAGGCUUCGCCUUUUCCCCGUUCUCGUCUACUUCCAGGUGACGAUAGUUUUGAGAGUACUCGAAAUUUGGGGGAAAUUUUGUUACAAGUAAAUUACAAAUUUGGUCCCUUAGGUUUCGUUUUGUUACAGAUAUAUAACCCAUUUAGUAAAAUCUAGGAUUAAUUACAAAUUUGGUCAUUUUUGUAUUAUGUCAAAAUCUAUAAUUUUCAAAACUAUUUCUUCGAUGGACCAUUUAUGUGUAAGGUCCUCAAAAUGAGGUCAAGCAAAUAGAAGUGAGUUAAAAUGCUUAAAGGAAGAAGAAGUGAUGUUGGGUUACUACCAUAAAAAUAAAGUAUGAUGUUAUUAUAAAUAUUUUUAUAUUUUUGUAAUCAUUACAUUAAAUUUGGAGAUUCAUAGUAACUUAAACCUAAAAAUUAUUAGGUGUAAAAGUCCUAUAAAUUAUAUAUAUAAAGAGGACUGAUAUGGUUGGGAUCCGAAAUGAAAGUUGUGAGAAUGAUAUAGUAUUAAUUACAUGAUAGCAAGGGAAAAAUAAAUAAAAAUAAUAAUUUUGUUUCUUUAUUACUAGUUAAGGGGUACCAAUUGGUAGGGGAUCACACAAACACACACUUCUCUUGUGUACACCUUGUAAUCGAUAUAUAAACAACAAAGAAUGAGGUACUUGUGGUUGGCAAAUUAUAGGAUUUUUCAAGUUCAAUAUUCAUGUUUGAGGUCCAAGUCCAACAAUGACAAGAUAUAAAAUUAAUGUUUAUAUGUUGGAAAGGAUGAUAUAAAUCUAUUUUUUUCAAUGUGUAAUUAUGUGUGAAAUAGAAGAAUAUAUGAUCAAAAAAAUAAUAAUGUGUGACAUGUAGAUAUAGCUUGAAUUGGUGAAAUAUUAUUUUAUGGAAGGUUAAUUGCAAAUUAAGGAAAAAUUGGUCCAUAAAUGGAUAGCAUAUCUUGUUUGGGUAAAGGUCAAGGAAAAUGGACACGUAAAUAAUUUGAGAAUGAUUUGUCAAAGUGUUGAAUAAAAAAAAAAUGUAUGUAAACAAAGAUACUUGACAAGUUGGAAAUGUUGGUUAAUUUCAUAUUGGAAAGUAGGACGCUAAUUUCCUUGUAUAUGUAAAGUAAACAUAACUAUAAGUGUAUCUGUAUUAAAGUGAACUUGAAAUAACAUAUGAUGAUGCAAGAAUGAAAGAAAGAUGAAAGUUGUAUCUAGUAAGUAAUGUAUUACUUGAAAUGGUAUGGAUAGGAUCAUCACAGACAUGGAAAAAAUAAAAUAAGAAUUCAUACUCAAGAUAUGUAGAUACAUGUGUUUGAUCCUCCAAUAUCACUCAAAUUGAAGUUAAAGUUGAUGCUUCUUGUAUUAGAGUUAUAAAUAUCCACUGUUAAUAUUAAGUUGAAUACAAAUACAAUAAUGGUAAAAUCUUUAUUAAUUACUGAUGAAAACACAUUAAAGAAACUAUGUUCACAGCAUAAAUCUGCAUCGAUACACUGUAAAAGGAUCAUACACCCAAUGCAGAAACCAAGAUAAUGAUAAUGAUGUUAAACAUCAUGAAUUACAUAUGAAUUCCCUCUGAUAUCUUAUAUCUUAAUCAAAGAAUUACAUCAAAAUAUAUACAAAACAAGUAACAAAGGCAUAUUACCAGAUCAGAAAAUUGAAGGAGAAACAAGACAACAGAAACAUAUAAAGAAAGAGAAGAUGAGAUUAACACAGUGAACCCAUGAUGAUUAUGGAAUCAGUUGUGGUGUUUGAAGCAGAACCAAACCAUCAACCUAAGAUGUAACCCUAAUCUAAUCUAACAACUUCAUCUUGUAUAAAUACCGAAUCAAACAAACAUUUCAAAAUUAACACCUUUUAAUACCAUCUAUAUCACAAAUCUCAUAAAAAUCUAAAAUCCAAAUAGUAUUAUAAACAAGCACAAUAUCAAUAUUAAAAGGACUGUUAAUCCUUAAUUGAUGAUAUAUAUUUAAAAAGGAUCUAUGCGUCUUCUCUUUGUCUCUUCAUUUUGGCAACUCUUACCAUGACUGCAACAUAUAUCUUGUCCACGGUUUCCUCAGCAAACAUGAAAAGUUUAUGUCUCCAAUGUUUCUUGAAUAACAAAACUCCUAUAACACCCCAAAACCCUGUUGCAAAACCACCGAUUAUGUCCAAAUAAAACAGCCAUAUCUUCGUGGGCUCGUCGUCUGCUUUGUAUUUUUUGUCGGGCGUUGUUGUUGGGUCUUCAUGAUUUAAGCAAUUCUUUGGCAAUGGAGAUCCACACAGAUCUUUGUUCCCAGCAUAUAUUGAUGGAUCAGUAAGUGUCUGCAAUUGACGACCUGUUGGAAUUUGUCCAGACAAGUUGUUGUAUGAAAAAUUCAAACGGCUCAAAAAAGUCAGAGCUGCCAUGCUUGGAGGUAUCCUCCCUGUUAAUAUAUUUUUUGAGAAAUCGAGAGAUUCUAACUUCGACAUGUUUCCAAUGUUGUCGGGAAUACCCCCACUGAGAUGAUUAUUAGACAGAUUAAGACCCACCAACAUCGAAAGUGCAGUUAGCUCGAUUGGUAUUUCUCCAACAAGUUUAUUGCUUGAAAGGUCUAUGCUAAAAAGUAUACCCAGAAUUGUACCAUAUUCAAGUUCAAGACCUUUUAUGACCUCGAUCACAUUCUCAUUGUAACCGUAUUGCCAAAGAGGCGAAUGUACCCGACUACUAUUAAACAUCGCAUUCAGCUCGCCUAGACAAGGAGGGAUAGCUCCCGUUAAGUUGUUACAUGCAACAUCAAGAACUUGAAGAUUUGAAUCUUUGCAUAAAGAUGGAGGAAUUCUUCCGGAGAAGUUGUUUUUGUGUAACCUCAAAACUACCAAAGAUUUAAGUUUUUCUCCAAUCCAUUCAGGUAUACUUCCGGAGAACUUGUUAUCACCCAAAUCUAAGACACUUAAAUAUCUUAAAUUCCCCAACUCUUGGGGAAGUUCACCACUAAAGUUAUUGUCAUUCAAACUUAAUCGGAUUAAUGAUGAAGAAUUAAGUGCUAUAGAACCUGGGAUGACACCAGACAACCGAUUUGAGCUAAAUCUCAUGGCAAGCAAGUUUUGGAGAUUCUCAAGACACGUGGGGAGUUUCCCGGUUAACAUGUUUCUGGAGAUAUCAAGAAAUAUCAAACUUGUCAUUCUGCAUAAUGAUCUUGGAAUCGACUCAUUAAAACGGUUACUUUGAAGGAAUAAUUUUCUCAUAGAUCCAUAUUCAUUAGGAAGAUUUCUCAAAGGACCCUUAAUUUCGUUGUAAGAGAGGUCUAAGAUACUAAUGACGGGCAGCUUCCGCAACCAUGUGGGCAGAGGUCCCGAAAUUGUAGCAUUCGACAAGAUUAACGCCUCAAGUUUCCUUUGAUUUCUAAGCCACUGUGGGAAUCCAUUUGCAAUAUUGCAAGAACUGAGUUGAAGAAUUACCAAUUGGAACGGGGGUAUCCAUUCACGUGAAACAUUAAAUGUCAACUUAGUGUUAUAAGAAGUAUCUAGUUCAGUCAACAUCGCAAGUUUACCAAAAUGGGCUUCAGAAACAACUCCUUCUAAUGAAUUAUUAAAGAUAUUUAGAGAAUGGAGUUUGGAAAGUUGCCCAAAUGAAAUUGGAAUAGUCCCAUUUAACAAAUUUGAAUGCAACGAAAUUGCUUUUAGUGAAACAAGUCUUCCUAGAGAUGCUGGGAUAGGGCCGGUUAACUGAUUGACUUCUAGAGACAAAUCUGUUAAAGCGGUUAAUUUUCCAAAUGACUCUGGAACUGAACCAUUCAAUCUGUUAAAAGAAAGAUCGAGUUUGGAAAGUUUCCAAUGAAAUGUUGGAAUGGGACCAGUUAACCGAUUGAAUUGUAGAUGCAAAUCUGUUAAAGUUGCUAAGUGGCCAAAGGAGUAUGGAAUUGAACCAGUCAAUUGAUUGAAAGAAAGGUCAAGUUUGGAAAGUUUCCCAAGGAAUGUAGGAAUGGGACCCAUCAAAUCGUUAUUGGACAGACAUAACUCCUCUAAGAAUCUUAAUCUUCCUAGAGAUUCGGGGAUUGGACCUGUCAAUCCACUGUAUGAUAAAUCUAAGACUCUUAAAUUCAACAACAGACUUCCAAGUGGUUUUGGAAUUGUACCAUUUAAACUCCCACGUAAAUCCAACCUCUCCAAAGAAUAUCCGGAGCAUUCCGAUAUGUUUUUUUGGUGAGGCGAUCAUCUCUAUAUCAAAAUCAUUUCCUGAUGCUUUCAAUCGUUUCAGGUGACACUGCCUCCAGAUUCCAACCUGCUCAAUCUGCUUAAACUUGUUAAAAGAAAGAUCAAGGUCCAGAAGGUUUGGCAUAAUAGGAACUGAAGAACUUAACAUGUUUUUUGAAAGGUCAAGAACUCUUAAGGAACUCAUAUUUGUAAAAAGUGAUGGAAAUAUGCCUUCAAUUGAAUUUUUGCUAAGAUCCAGGUGUUGGAUGUUAGAAAGUGUACUGAAAUUAAGAUGAGGGGCAGAUAGGUGCAUGUUAUGGAGCCCACAAAUUGACAAAUGCAACUCUGAUAAAGAAGGGAUCAUGUCUAACAAGUGUUGAAAGUUCUGAGAAAAACUAAGAUCAAACCCUGAAACAUCUAGGAAUGUUAGGGAUGUCAUGUUUUGAAGAAAACUAGGGAGUGAACCUCUGAAAGAAUUGAAGCCGAGAUCCAGGUGUUUGAUGUUGUGAUGUAUUCUACUUGAAUUAACAGUGGAACCAAGACCAACAUUGGAAAGUCCACAUUUUGACAAACUUAUCUCUUUUAGCAGAGGAAUCAUGAAAAGCACCAUGUCCCAGUUUUGUGCUCCAGCAAGAUUCACCAAACUUAAGUCGAGAUGCUCGAGUGAUGAAAGGCCAAAAGUCCAUGCCAUAUCAUCCGCCAUGAGCCGUCUAUUUGAACUGAGAUCAAGAACCUUUAAAUUAGAGAGAUUUCCAAUGUGAGGAGGAAUAAUACCAUGAAAACCAGCGUAAGAGAGAUUAAGGUACCUCAGCUUCGUUAAGGAACCAAUGAAAUUAGGGAUCCGGCUUCCUUGAAAAUCAUUCCCACUCAAGUCUAAGUAUUUUAGAUGCCUUAACUCCGCCAACGAAGAGCUCACCUCAUUACCAACUAAAUAGUUGUCAACAGUGUAAGAAUAAGAGUCCCGAUCUCUUCUCAGAUGAAGUCUUUCAACAUCUCCAGUGACACCAUCACACUGAAUUCCUUCCCACCUGCAACAAUCACUGCCAAUCCAUGAUGACAACAUUCCAGAAGGAUCUUUGAUGUUGUGUUUGAACUUAAGAAGAGCAAGACGCUCUCUCUGAGAGCAAACAACAGAGAUAUUUCGAACACCCAAACAGGUAUACGUGUUUGCAAGAAAAACUAUACUUGUGAAAAUGAGAUGCAGCCCCAAACCCCUUGGAUUCCCCAUUAGCAACCCUUCCUAAUUAACUUGGUUUUUUUUUUCGAAAAAAUAAUGAAGUGGAAAGAUGAGUUCUUAUGAUGAACUGGUGGGUUUUUAUGAUCAAGAAACUACUUUAUUUAUAAACCCUGAAUUGAAAGCAACUUGCUGCCAUCAAAGACUUGCAAGUCAAUGGACAUGACUUGGAAAAUUUGGAAGUCAAUAGACAAAUUCUAUCCACUGGCAUAUUUUUCUUUUUCUCAAUCAAAAUCUGGUGGGGUGUGUGUAUGUGUGUGUGUGUGUGUGUAUAUAUAUAUAUGUGUAUAUAUAUAUAUAUAUAUAUAUAUAUAUNNNNNNNNNNNNNNNNNNNNNNNNNNNAGGAAAGAGAAAUAUGAAAAAAAGAACUGACAUCUGUGACAAAUACUUUAAUUUGACAGAAUAUGACCUCUAUACAAAUUUUACAUUAAUCCUCAACUUUCAUUUUUUUUAUCGCCUAUCUAAAGUACCUUUUUAUGUUUUAGAGGUAACAAUUUCAACCAAUACAUGUAUUUCUAAAUAUAAAGUUUCAUUCAAGUACUUUUAAGUCUACAUAACUACACCCUUGACUUUUACAUGAGGGAUUAAAGAACUAAGUUGCAGAAAAAGAAAGUUAUUGACUAGCUAACUUUACUUUGAAAUUUACACAAAAUUACAAACUUGACUUUGACAUUUAAAGGAUUAUAAAACUAACUAUGUUGCAGGAAAAGACAGCUAUUGAUGAUUAUUUGACUUUAAGGGUUAUGUUUCAAGCCCAAUAAAAUACUAUUUAGGGCUAAAUGACCAUCUAGAAACCCACUUUCGUUCAUUUCUCACUACAGCCAAUAUAGAUUUUAUGCACAAUACUAAGUUACUAACACACUCAUUUCCAUUUUGGGCCAAAAUGACAUAUAUUUCCCUAAAGCUGUUUUUUUUUUUGUUGACUUGUGAUCUUAUGCCUAUGUUAUGGUAGAAGAGAACAAAAUGACACACAUCAAUUGGUCCAUGCAAUACAUACAUACAUAUGGGCAAGUGCAUCUGUGCAUGGGAACUGAAAGAUAGUACGUGUUUGAUCUCAGCUGUUAAAUAAAAAGAUCCGAUGGACACCAGACUAAGAAAGCCUUGACAAUUAUUGAACCUGAGAUCUCACUUAGCAGAGUUAGAUUAUUUCCCCACAACUCUUUACACAAUAACUUUGAAGUAAACACGUACACACAAACGUAGUGACAUGAUGAUUGAUGCUGCACCUAGCAUCUUUCUGGUAGAAUUUUAAAUGCUACUUCCUAACAGCGCUUUCGAUAUAGGAUAAAAUUUUUAAGAGAAGUGUCAAACAUUUUUUUUAAAAUAAUGAAAUACAUAAGGCUUCAAUUUUCUAAUACAAAACCGUAUGAUGAUUAAUACACCUUUAUAAAAUUCAAAACAAUAAUUGUUCAACAAACUUCUAAAAAUGAAGAUUAAUCUCUACUUUACUGAACAUUAUCACAACAAAACAAAAGAAAAAAUGCACAAAAACCAUUACUGCAGAAGUUCACUGUGGUCAACAGGUUUCCUUAAUUGGGCAUUUUGGAAAUUUGAUUAAGGGUAACAUUUUUUAUCAAAUUAGAUGUCAAGCAUAUAUGGCAUUUUUUCGCACGGAGGGAGUAAGUAUCUACUGUUUUAACACUGAUUAUUUGGGUGUUUAUAGUACUCUUAGAUUAGCAUUCAUUUAUCCCUACAAACUAAACAAUUUCAUAUCAAUUUUUAAAUAGGAAGUAAUUAAUUGGCAAACCAAGGUGGGUUCCAGGCAUCGCCUUACGGAAUGAUUAUGUGGAUGAUGGGCAGCUAUUCAGAGUAAAUAAUUUAAUAACUUGAAGCAUAUGUCAGCAUGAAUCCAGAAGGACCAUCAUCAUCUCUUUGUGCUUUUUUUUUAUGGCUGAGCUACAAGAGCUCAUUUCUUCCCCAUAAUGCCACUGAUAAAAGGUUCUACUGAGAAGCAGGGGAAACACUUGAGUUUUAAGCAUCUCCACCUGUUUAACAGGUAUUAACAGAUAAUGAGUUUGACAUUAUAUCUACCAUUAGGAGCUCCAAAAGUGUUGCAGAACAAAGUCCAUCACCAUCAGCUUAUAUGAAUCAUCAUAAAAUCGCAUGAUUUCGAUCUUCUAUGUCUUACAGGUCCCAAUUUUGUGUGAGAAUUAGGUCAGACAGAAAUAUAAAAACUUAGAAGCAUCCCAAUACGAUGCAUCCGUUUCUACCAUGCUAAAUUACUAGGUUCAAAUUUGUGUGUUUUGUUGCAUGUUAAAUUUUUUGUAAAAACUAAAUAGAGUAAGUUCAUGAAAUCAAUAAGAAAUUAGCGCAAAUAGAAAAAGAAUUGGAAUACCCAGCGAACAUCGAUGACUCGAGAAUUAAGAAGGAUAGAGAUAAAACAGAUUCGCCUUUUCCCCUGUACACAACUACUACUUCGCUGGAGGAAGCAUUCCUUUCGAGAAGAACUGGAAGUUUGGGGAAAUGUGUUUUUUUAAUUAAAAUACAAAACGGGUUCUUUUUUUUUUUUUUUUUUAAAUGACAUGUUUUGUCCAGAUUAACUUUUUUCUUACAAAUUUUUCUUUAAAGAACAUUUUAUCUCAAAUUCCAAAAGAUAAUAUACCAGAGGACCAAACUUGUAUUUUACUUAUAGUUUCAUGAGUAAACUCUUUUUUCUUAAUUAUAUGAUGUUUUACGUUUAAUGUGUAAUUAUAUCAGAAGUAUAAGUUUCUAAACUGUUUUACAUUUAUCCAAUAACAAAAGAUUUACCGCCUAAUAGUAUUAAAAGUUGACAAAAAAUUAAUCAUCAGUUAAAUGUUAAGGUUCAAGUCUCGUUUAUAGCAAAAUGUAUACAUUUAUAAGUAUAUAUGUUAGAUGGUUCUAAUUUCUUUUAGAUAUUUAUUGAAUAUGAUAGAUUUUAGACAAAAUUACAUAAGUGGUCCUUGAGGUUGAUCCAAUUGACCAACUUUGGCUCUUAUGACAAAUUUUAUGUGUAGAUAGUUCAUAUGGUUUUAAAAUCUUGCAAAGAUAUUCCUUUUGACUAAAGAUGUUAGCUUUUUCAAUUAAGUUCAUUGUGAAAUGAUCUAUUUGCCAUUCAUUCCAUACGGACCAUUUAUGUAAUUUGUUCUAUCCAUAGGGACCGUUUAUGUAACUUUCUCUAUUAUUUUUUUAUUUAAUUUAUUUAUAUUCUAUGAUUUAGAAUUUUCUUAACGUUUUGUUUGAAUAUAUUCUUGAUUUUUUUUUAAAAAAUCACUUGCAUUUUUUGAUUUUGGUUCGUGUAAUUUUUUGACAAAAUUGCAAAAAUAGUCCCUGUGGUAUGUAUUUUUUUGGGGUUUUAAUCCAAACAGUGACUUUUUUGGAUUAGUGGUCAUUUUGAGAUAGUUUGUAUGUGAAAAUAGUCCCUCCAAAAAUUGAAAUGACUAUAAUACCCUUGGGGUAUUUAUUUUUCAUUUUUCUUUCAUUUUUAUAAAUUAAAUAUUUAUUUAUUUACUUUAACAAUUAAAAAAUAAUGGAGGACCCACCUCUCUCUCUCUCUCUCUUCUCUUUUUCUCUCUCUCUCUCUCUCUCUCUCUCUCUCAUCCCGAGCUAUCACUUCAUCACACACACACACACAAACAGACGAACCUUCCCUCUUCUUUCAAUAUCCACCCUUCUCCCCUGAUUUGUUAUUUUUUUUUAAAUUACACUUCGUCAAUUCAUCAAUUCCCCUAGAUUCGAUUCGAUCUUCGAGGAUGGAAUGAUCAGUUUUUCGGAAAAAACAUUCAUUCUAUUUUCACCAUUCUUGUUCAUCAAAAAGUCGAUUUACCCACCUGUUAUCUCUCCAUACUUCUCCCUUCCUCUAAUUUUGAUGGGGGAAUUGAUUAAUGGGUUGUUCUUGAUUUUGGUUUGGUGUUGGUUACAUGUUUUAAUUUUUAUCUGGGAUGAGUUCAGGGGGGAGAUAAUGAUGGUGAAGAAGAAUAGGUAGGAGGGAAGAGGAAGUUGAUGAGUCGAGAUUAGGGGAGGAACCAAAAGACACACACAUACAUGGAUUUCUGGUGUAACUAGGGAACCUUCAUCCUUGCUCAAAACUGAUGAAGAUGAAACCUUCAUCCCUAUUCAAAAACCAUUACAGGACGUCAACUAAAUCAAAGAUUAAGGUUUCUUGCUCUAAAACCCUUAGAGAACCUGCAACUAAAUCAAAGGUUUGACAUUUAAAAAUAAACCCAUAUUUCAACGGUUUCAUUGUGUGUGCCCUGAAUUAAAAAGAAAUCUGGAAUUCAUAUGGGUUCUUGAAGAAAUAAACUUGAACGGAAUCAAAAUAGAAGUAUGAAAUAAAACUAAAAACUUGAUUGAAAACAAAAUCAGAGUUGUUCCAUGGGUUUUUGGUUCUGGUUAGAGGGAGAACCAAAAUCGAAAUCGACACCAUAAACAAAAUCAAACCCAAAUAAAGAUCAGUGUGUGUGUCUCUUCCCCAUGGUGUUUGUGAUCAAUGGUGACAAGGGAUGAUUACCUCGGUGCAUGUUUUUGUUGUGGGGUUUUCAGUGGUGCAGCGUCGGUGGUUGAAGAAGGAAGCUUGGGUUCAACAUUCUUGAUGUAUGGAUGAUGGUGGCUAAAAGGAAGAUGAUGAAUGUCGAUGAUCUGAAGUGUGUGUGUUUGCUUGAGAGAGAGAGAGAGAGAGAGAGGGGUCCUCCAUUAUUUUUUAAUUGUUAAAAUAAAUAAAUAAAUAUUUAAUUUAAAAAAAAUGAAAGAAAAUGAAAAAUAAAUACCCCAAGGGUAUUAUAGUCAUUUCAAUUUUCGGAGGGAUUAUUUUCACAUACAAACUACCUCAAAAGGACCACCAAUCCAAAAAAAAUCAUUGUUUGGAUUAAAACCCCAAAAAAUGCAUACCACAAGGACCAUUUUUGCAAUUUUGUCUAAUUUUUUUAAAUUCUUUUUUGACAUUUUAUUCAAAUACAUUUAUGACAAAACUUCAAAAAUGAUCACUGUGGUUUUCAAAAAUAUCAAGUUUAGUCCCUAAUUUCAAUGUGAUUAAUAUUAAAUAUCUGGUCAGUAGUGGAACCUUGUCAUAUCAUCAUCUUGUUAAUUGUUUGGUCAUGUAUGCUAAAAAAUCAAAUUACAAAAAGAUGAUGAAGGUAUCCAAAGAAACAAGGAAGCAGGAUCGAAGAUGGAAAUUUGCAUUUUACUAGCUAAAUGUACAACCUUUAAUAUAAGUUCUCAAGCAAUUAUUGCAUCAUGGAGUGCAGUUGAUGCAGAUGAAAGGAAGAACAAUAUGUUGCUUUCUUCGGUGCUACGGGAUUGAAUUCAAAACCCGAUCAUAUAACCUACAAUCCUACACUAUAUAUGAACAUGAAAUUACUAAGGAAAGCUUUUGUUACACAGGACAAAACUGAUGACAGGACAACAUCUCUAAGACUAUUCUCAAAGAGAAUUGGGAGUGGGGAGGGGAAGAAAAUUGAUCCAGGUCUUAUGCAUUCCAAAUGCAGGUACAUUCCUACAUAAUAAAGGAGGCUUAAAAGAGAAGAAAAGUGAUACCGAAGAUGCAUAUGAGGAACUAAUCUUGGAAGAACUACAGAAAACACAUACUUAACUACUUGAAAAAUAGCCAAGGUAUGCAACUUAAAUGAAUCCCAGACCAUAAAUUUCCCAAGCCACCAUUUGCAAAAGUGUGCUUCACCUGCAAAAAGAAAAAAAAAAUGAAAAAUGAAAACGACAUCGUUUUGGACGUUGUUGACUGUGGAAAGUGAAAUCAUCUGUGAUUUAAAAAAAAUGUAUUAUCAUGUCAUGUUGACUGCGAAAUUCAAAGACGAUACUGUGAAAAUCAUAACCUAUGGUAUGAAAAUUUGCACAUUGUAGAGGAUGUUAUCUUAUAAGAGAUUGCUUUGUAAAAAAGAGUUAUCAGAACCAAUUGUCUGCAUUUUUUAGCACAAUUUUCACUAUAUUCUUUCUUCUGAUUUCCUUAGCAAUUUUCCACCUUACCCUAUUGCUCUUGUCGAGAUAACAUGAGUUCAAACAUUGUACAUGACUAAUUGUUAUUUUUGUUGGUGGUCGAUGGCAGUUAGAAACAACAUGUUUAUACAAUGCAACAAAUCAAUAUGUUGUUGGUGGGUACUGAUCUAGCAGCAGAAGAGGGACCGGUAGUAAAAGAUGGAAAAAGUUUUGCUAAGAACAGAUACAUAGAAGAGGUAGCAACAAUCAAAUAGGUAUCUGUAUCUCUCUAAAUGAUUCUCACGAUGUUGGUGGAUAUGUUGCGUUCCAAUAACAACUCAAUUCACAAGUAGUUUCUGAAACCCAAUACACGUAUCGACAAAUUCAAUAUGUCGAUCCCAAAAGAUAUUCUGUACCAUAUCAAACACUAAUACCACCAUAUCAAACGUCGGUAACACCAUUUGAAACGCCGAUUGUAUAAUAUCAAAUGCCAAUUAUACAAUACAACCUAUUUUUCCAUUCUAAAAAGUGGGCCGAAAGGAGAGGAAAGUGGUAUUGAAGAUGCAUAUAUAUAUAUAUAUAUAUANCAAGACCAGCUAAGAGUAAACGUAAAUAAGAAUAAAAGGCAAAUACAAGUAGAAAGAAGUAUAUUGAAUCAAAUUGUAUCUGAAUUGAAAGCAACAAAAAGGUGUAUCAAGAUGUUAAACCCAUGAAAUCUCAAACCCAUUGAAAAUCUUUUGUGUAUGCUUGACGGCUUUGAGUUAUGUUAUUAUUUAUUCCAUAUCUUGAUGUGUCUGAGCAUGUUGAUGUUGUAAUUUGAUAACUUUGCAUCAGUUCUGUACUCUUCUCUUUGCGUAACCAUUCUAUUUCAGCUUCCCUUUGGAUUUCACUUGCUGAGCUGAUUUAAGUUCCACCUUCUAAUAUUCUUCAAAUGUUACCUCUUUCUAAACCCCUCAUAAGAAAUGUUCAUGCACAAACUCCCACCUAUUCAAUAAAUCUUGCUAAAUCCCUGAAUCAAAUCACAGAAACCAAUAAAAGAUGAACGUGUAAGAAACUAAACAACACCAAAAACCACAGCAACCAUGCAUGUAGGGUGUUGUUUAUCAUUCAUAAUAACAUAACCAGGACCAAAACUUUCCCCCUUUAGUCAACCGUCUUCGUCCUUUGCAUGAUGAAAGAAAAAAGAAAAUUUACAAAGAGAAGAAUAGAUAAUAAGUGGGUACCUGAUUCUUACUGAACUAUUUGAAAAAUAGACAAAGAUAUGUAACCUAAAUGAGACCUUGUAUUUACAAUUAACUAUUGUUGUUGAUGAUCAAGACAAACCGAGAGUAAAAUCACACAAACCAGUUGUUCUUACUUUAUGUUCAAAAGAGCAGGGACAAAAUAUUAAUCAAUACCUAAACUUUACCCCUUCACCCAAUCAUCUUCUUCCUUAACAUGAAAAACAAGAACAUCUAGAAAAAAAAAAUGGAUAAUGAGUUGAUUACCUGAUUCUUUGUUGGAGCCAUGAAGAUGAAAAUAUCAAUCAAGACCUAACCUUUCCCCCUUCACCNUAUAAAAAAAAAAAAAAAAAAAAAAAAAAAAAAAAAAAAAAAAAAAAAAAGAGGAAAUAGAUAAUGAACCUGAUUCUUAGUUGGAGCCAUGAAGAUGAUAAGUGAUCAAUGCUGCAGCAGAUUGGUGCAAGAGAAGUGACAGGUCAAGAGCACAAUAGCAUACAAAUAUAGUCUAAUCUAAUAACUAGAUAUUAUAUAAAAAUACUGAAUGAUAAAUAUAACAAACAUUUUAAAAUUGAAACCUUUAAACAACAUCCACAUUACAAACAUAGAUCCAAAUAGUAGCAUUAAAACAAAAACUUCAUUCAUAACAUAUAUCCGAGAAUUACUUGCAUUGCAGAGCGCCUAUACAGCUUCUCUUCCUCUCUUGAUCUUGGCAACAACUGUUACCAUGACUGCAACGUAUAUCUUGUCCAUGAUUUUCUCAACAAACAUGAAAAGCCUCCAUCUCCACUGCUUCUUGAACAAGAGAACUCCAAUUACACCCCAAAACCCUGUUGCAAAUCCACUCAUGAUGUCCAGGUAAAACCACCAUACCUUGAUCGACUCCUCAGCUGCUUUAUGUUUCUUCUUGGGCUUUGCUGUUGUUGUUGGGUCUUGAUGAUCUGAGCAAUUGUUUGUCAAUGGAGGUCCACAAAGAUCUCUGUUCCCACCAUAUAUUGAUGGAUCAUCAAUAAGGGUCUGCAAUUGAUGGCCUGUUGGAAUUCUUCCCCACAAGUUGUUGUGUGACAAAUUCAAAUGACUCAAAAAAGUCAAAUCUGCCAUGCUUGGAGGGAUCAUCCCGGUUAACUCAUUGUUUGAGAAAUCUAGAGAAAAUAAUGCCGUCAAGUUUCCAAUGGUGUCUGGAAUAUUCCCACUGAGAUGAUUAUUAGACAAAUUGAGACCCACCAACAUAGAAAGUGCAGUUAUCUCUAUAGGUAUUUUUCCUACAAGUUUAUUGCUUGAAAGGUCCAUGUUAUAAACUAUAUCCAAAAUUCUUGUAUAUUCAAGAUCAACACCUUUCAUAACCUGAAUCACAUUCUCAUUAGAAUCACCCCAGCCAUAAUUGUAAUACCACUUUUCUGCACCAUUAACCAUUGCUUUCAACUCUCUUAGGCAAUGAGGGAUGAUACCCGUUAAGUUGUUGUAUGCAACAUCCAAAAUUUGAAGAUUUGACAUUUUGCAUAAAGAUUCAGGAAUUUCCCCGGUAAAGUUAUUCUUGUGUAAUCUUAAAACAAUCAAACUUGUCAGGUUUUCUCCAAUCCAGUGGGGUAUCUUUCCAAACAAUUGAUUAUCACCCACAUCUAGGACUUUUAAAUCUCUUAAAUUCCCCAACUCUGGAGGAAGUUCACCAAUGAAGUUAUUGUCAUCCAAUUUUAACCAAUUCAAUGAUGAAAGAUUAAGACCUAUAUAGCUUGGAAUGACACCUGAAAGUAAAUUUGAGCUAAAGAUCAUGGCACCCAACCAUUCCAGAUUCUGGAGACACUUGGGAAUUGUCCCUGUUAACCUAUUUCUGGAAAGAUCAAGUAAUUCCAAAUCUGUCCAUCUGCACAAGGACUUCGGAAUUGACUCAUUGAAAAUGUUAUUUGCUAGUAUCAAUACCCAUCGUAUUUCUGGAAGGUUUGUCAAUGGUCCGCUGAGUUUGUUGUGAGAGAGAUCUAAGAAAUCAAUGACAGGCAUCUUCCGCAACCAUCUGGGCAGAGGUCCCGAAAUUGAAGCAUUCGACAACACUAACUCAGAGAGCAAGAACUGAUUCCGUAGCCACUGUGGCAAUCCAUUUGUGAGAUUGCAGGAACUGAGAUCAAGAUGAUACAACUGGAAUGGAGGCAUCCACUUAUGUGAAAAAUUGCAUGUCAGCUUAGAAUUAGAUGAAGCAUUCAAGUACCUCAACAUGGAAAGGUUAGCAAAAUGGGCUUCGGAAACUACUCCUUGUAAGGAAUUGUCUGAGAUAUCUAACUCAUUGAGUUUGGCAAGUUGCCCAAUUGAAACCGGAAUAGUCCCAUUUAACAAAUUUGAAGACAACCGAAUUGCUUGUAAUGAAACAACUCUUCCUAGAGAUGUUGGGAUGGGGCCCGUUAAGUGAUUGGAUUGUAGAUACAAAGAUUCUAAAGCUGCAAGAUUUCCAAAGGAUUCUGGAAUUGAACCAUUCAAUUGGUUAUCAUGUAGAUCUAAUACCUCUAAGAAUCUUAAUCUUCCUAGAGAUUCGGGGAUUGGACCUGUCAAACUGCUCAUUGAUAGAUCUAAGUGUCUUAAAUUGGUUAGUCUUCCAAAUGCUUCUGGAAUCGUACCAUUCAAACACCCACUUAAAUCCAACCGCUCCAAAGCAUAUUGGGAGCAUUCUGAAACGUUUUGCGGUGGGUCAAUCCUUUCUAUUUCAAAAGGAUUUCCAUAUGCAGCCAAUGUUUUCAGGUGACACUGUCUCCAGAUUCCAACAUCCUCAAUAUUCUUAAACUGGUUAACAGAAAGAUCAAGCUCUAGAAGGUUAGCCAUAAUAGGAACCGAAGAAUGCAGCAUGUUUCUUGAGAGAUCAAGGACUCUUAAGGAACUCAUGUUACUGAAAACAGAUGGAAAUAUGCCUUCAAUUGAAUUCCAGCUAAGAUCCAGGUGUUGGAUGUUAGAAAGCAUACAAAGUGACAAAUGCAGCUCUGAUAAAGAAGGGAUCAUGUUUAGCACGUUUGCAAAGUUCCAUGCCAAACUAAGAUUAAAUUUAGAAAGAUCGAGGAAUGCUAGGGAUGUCAUGUUUCGGAAAAAUCCAGGGAGUGGGCCUUUGAAAGAAUUGAAGCCAAGAUCAAGGUGUUUGAUGUUGGGAAGUAUUCUACUCGAAUUAAGAAAAGGACCAAGAUGGGCAUUGGAAAGUCCACAACCAUGCAAACUUAACUCUUUUAACGAAGGAAGAUUGUAAAGCACCAUGCCCAUGUUCUUUGCUCCGCCAAGAUCCACCCAACUCAAGUCGAGAUGCUCGAGUGAUGAAAGGCCAAAAGUCCAUGACAUAUCAUCAUUCCAACUGAGAUCCAAAACCUUUAAAUUAGAAAGAUUUCCAACGUGAGGAGGAAUAAUACCUUGAAAACCAGCAUAAGAGAGAUUGAGAUAUCUCAGCUCUUUGAAGGAACCAAUGAACUCAGGGAACCGGCUUCCUCUAAUAUAAUUCCAACUCAAGUCCAGGUACUUGAGAUGCCUCAACUCAGCCAAAGAAGAGUUCACCUCAUUACCAACUAAGUAGCCUUCUCCUUCACUGUCAGAAGGGUCUCCUCCGAGAUUGAGGCUGUCAACGGUUCCAGUGAGACUGUCACAGUGGAUUCUUUCCCACUGGCAACAAUCCUUACCCACCCAUGAAGACAUCAUUCCAGAAGUAUCUUCAACACUCCCUUUGAACCUGAGAAGAGCAAGUCGUUCUUUCUGGGAGCAAACAACAGUGACAUUUCCAACACCCAAACAAGUAUAUUUCGUUGCAAACAAAAAAACACAUAUGAAAAUGAGAUUGAGCCCCAAACCCCACGGAUUCCCCAUUUAUCAACCCUCCCUAACUCAGUUUAAUUUAGAAGAAAGUUGAAGUGGAAAGAUAGUUUGUUAUGAUGAAGUGAUAGAUUAUUAUGAAGAAGAAACCAGUUCAUUUAUAAUGCCACAAAUGAAGAACAACUUAAUGCCAUGGAAGACUUCAAGUCAAUGGACAUUUGUCUCCACAAGUUGUGUUUUUGUGGUCCAAGUCUGUUCCCCAUGUCAGAUGCAAUUGCAUAUGGAAACAAUUCUUUAAAAAAUUAUAAAUAAAAUGAAGCACAAUAAUUGACAAACAAGCAUUUAGAUUUUUAAGAAAUCCAAGAUAAAUUAUAACCUUUUGUAAAUAGUAGGUGUAAAUCAAUAUAAACUUAAUUUUGAUGUUCAAUCAUUUUACAAAACUAACUACAAGAAAAUAAGUUUUUUUGUUAUUAUUUGACUUGACAAGGCUGGUGUGACAAGCCUAGCUAAUUAAAAGAUACUUUCUUCUGUAACUCUAAAUUAAAGAUAUUAUAUUAUCUUUUAUAAAAAAAAUGUAGCCUUCUCAAAUGCAUUACGGUUUUAUUAGACAACCCAUUCACUUGAAAAUAGAUAUUUGUUUUAUUAAUAAUAAAAAAACCUAUUUUCAUAAUAAUAAAAAUAGUAUAUAAAGAGAUGUUGCGGAGAAUAAAAAGGAAGUGGUGGGGGUUGGUGGAUUUGUGGGACCCAAUGUUUUAAUAAUAACAAAAAUAAGGUAUAAAAAAGUAAUUAAAAAAUAAAAAAUCUAGGAAGGGCAAAAUAGUCUUUUAGGUCAGUUAGGGACGAAAACUGUAACAAAACAAUAUCACAUGGACGAUUUGUUUAAUUUACUCUAGGUUUUUGCUUUUAAAUUUGAUACCAAUAUUGCUACAAAUGAUUAUGGCUUUUAGCGAAUUGGUGUUAUUGAAUUGGAACACUUUUGAUUAGAGUCUAAUGUCCCAUGGCACACAUAAAUGCAUUUGGCCAAAAGUCUUCCACACAAAGACUUUGAAGUCAACAAAGUAACACUCACACACAAAAAAGGGGGCCAUGAUUGAUGCAACUUUCUUGUGGAAUUUUUCCAUGCAACUUCUCCCCAUCAAAUGUAUUCCUCUUUGCUAUUAUUCCAUGAAAAUUUACAAAGUUCAGGAAAAACGUCUUAUCCACUUUAACUAGAAAGAAUUUGCAAACAAAACUGACCCAUGACAUGGAAUGGAGGAUAAUAACCGAGAUCAUGAAGAGACAUGUUGUUCCAGGUAGAUGCACUAAAAAUGACCUAAAGAAACAAAAUAUAAAGAAGCAAAAUAGCCAGGUUAGUCAUGAAACCAUACAUAAAAAAAUUUAAUACAUAAGAGCUUUUUAAUGUUUCCUGUUAAACCAACAUGAAUAUAGAAGAGCUUUUUAUUUUAUUUUAUUUUCGUUUUCUGUGGAUCAAAAUAAGUGGGUUUUGGCAAAGUUUAUUCCGAAUGGCAGAAGCAAAUGUAUUUGACAACAAAUCUAUAAAAUAAAUGAAUUGAAUAUUUGGUAAGAUUACUAUUCAAUUAGAAGUCACUACACAAGACUUGGAAGUCUAUAGACAGUUUUAGCCACAAACUGGUAUGCUCUGGAUCUGGACUGUAUAUUUUUUUUCUAUGCCCCAAGGAACACACAAAUGUAUUUGGCCACAAGUAUUUUUCACAAAAGAAAUUUCAGUCAACAAAGUAAACCCCCCAAAUAAAUAACAUGGACAAAAGAAAAUAGUGACAUGAUUGAUGCACCAAGAAUCUUUUCUUAUGGAAUUUUCCAUACAACUUCUCCCUAACAAAUAUAUUCCACUUUUAUUGUUAUUCCAUGGAAAACAAAACUAGUAUCAGGAAUUCAGGAAUGAAUAAUCAGUCUAACAAACAGUGGCAUGAAGUAACUAUAUUCAGCUCAACUUAAUUUAAUAUUAUCAAUUCUUACGACAAGUUCAAAUGUUGUUAUGUUGAAGAAACCACUUCAUUUAUAAUGCCAUCAAUGAAGAACAACUAAUUUCCAUGCCAUGGAAGACUUGAAGUCAACGGACAUUUGUAUGCACAAGUUGACUUUUUGUGGUCCCCAUGGUAGACAGCUAGACACAAUUGUAUAUGGCAACAAUUCUUUUAAAAAAUAUAAAAUAAAUGACAAACAAGCAUUUAGAUUUUCAAGAAGUAUAGGAUAAUUUAUAAUAUUUUGUAAAUACUAGUUAUAAAUUAUAAACUUGAUUUUGAUGUUCAAUCAUUUUACAAAACUAACUUCAAGAAAAUAAGUUUUUUUGUUAUUAUUUGACUCGACAAGGUUGAUGUGUCAAGCUUAAUUAAAAGAUACAUUAUGUAACUCCACAUUAAAGAUAUUAUAUAUUUUUUUAUAAAAGAUGUAUUUUCUCAAAUGCAUUACGAUUUCAUUAGACAUAACAAUUUCAACCCAAUUAAUUGAAAAAUAGGUAUUUGUUAUAUUAAUAAUAAAAAUACCUAUUUUCAUAAUAAUAUAAAUAGAUAUAUAAAGAGAUGUUGAGGAGAUAAAAACGGGGUGGGGUGGGGGUUGAGGAAUUUAUGGGACCCAAUGUUUUAAUAAUAAAAAAAUAAAGUACAAAAAAUAAUUAAAGAUAUAAAAAAUCUAGUAAGGGAAAAAAUGUAUUUUUAGGUCUGUUAGGGAUAAAAAUCAUAACAAAACAAUACCAAAUGCAUGGUCCGAAUUGAGAAAUAAUAAUAUUAAAUAAGGGACCAAGCAUACAUAUUACCUUAAACCACAGGGACCAUUCAUGCAAUUUACUCUAGUUUUUUUCUUUUAAAUUUGAUACCAAUGUUUUUACAAUUGUUUUUGGCUUUUAACAAAUUGAUGGUAGUGAAUUGGAACACCAUUGAGGAAUUGUCUAUGGCCCAUGGCAUACGUCAAUGCAUUUGGCAAAAAAAGUCUUCCAAACAACAAAGCAAACCCACUAAUCACACACACACACACAAAAAAAAAGAAAAAAAAAAAGGACAUGAUUGAUGCACUAAGUAAGCAUCUUUCUUGUGGAAUUUUCCAUGAAACUUCUCCCUAUCAAAUGUAUUCAUCUUUAAUAUAAUUAUAAGUAUCUUUUAAAUCUAAAAUAAAUUACAAUCAUAUUUUAACCUAAAAUAUCUUUAAUAUAACUACUUUUAAAGAUUAAUGAAAUUAUAUACCAAUAGUUUUUAAGUAAAUACACGAAUGGUCUCUAUGAUUUCAGGUAAUUAGCGUGUAUUGUCCUUUAACCGUUUUUUUAAACUUGGAUGGUCCCUAUGGUUUGGUUUUGUUUCGGGUUUGGUACCCAACAAACUUAAUAUGACUAUCUUGCGCUUAAUAAUAUUUUUCUAUAAUUUUUUAGUUCAUUUUUUAUUAUUAUGUUAUUAUUAAAUAGAGUAAAUUAUUAAUGUCUAAAAUGAUACUUCACCAAACACCAGAUGCUGCCCUUGAAACCACCUCCCCCACCAUUGCAAAAGAUUGAAGGAUCCAGCCUCACACCAUUUUCCCCUCUGUUACAGACAAAAAACAACAUCAUCAUCCAUUCCUGAUGAAAAUCAAAUUCAUACCAAGUUCACUCGAUCAGAUAUAUAAUCUCAACUCUCGUAAAAAUGUUAAAAAAAAGAAACGAAAGAAGAAAUGCACAUAAACCAUCAGUGCAGAAGUUAACUGGAAGCACAAGUUUGGGGACACUAGAAACCAUAUCAUGUACAUCAUGAUCUUGCGCAUGUGUAAGCUUUGACAGCAUGCAGUGCCUACUGAAAAAGGUUUAUUUACUAAUACGAUAAUUAUGGUAUCAUGUACAAAACCUAAUCUGAUUAUAUUGGGAGCAAUUACGUGUACACACAUACAUAUAUAAUAUUUGGCCUGGUAAAACUGUACACACAUAAAUAAAUAAAAAUUCAUUUGUAGGAACUGCUUUCAUAGCAUAUGAAGAAGAACCGGUUCCUAAUAUAGCAGCAAUAUGAAAACAUGUUUUUUUUUUUCAAUUUUCUCACAGUAAAACAAAAGCAAGAGAAAAUAGAGGCUUUUCACGAGCACAGGUCAACAUAGGACUAUAGUCUAUAGGUGAUUCGUUGAUACAAUAAAAAAAUACAAACACUUUUAAGUAUCAAAGGAUCUACUGAGAAGCAGAGGUUUAAUUGAGCUUGAAGCAUUUCCUCCCUUAAACAGGUAAUUACAGAUUACGUGGUGACAUUAUAUCUACCAUUAGGAGCUGCAAGUGUGUUGCAAAACAGAGGCUAUCACCAUCUGCUUAUAUGCAUCAUUACCUUCUCUGUGUUACAGGUCCCAAUUUGUGAGACAAUUAGGUCAGACAGAAUCAUAAAAUCGUAGAUGGAUCAUUUUCCCAGUAUACACCAAUGAAAUUGGAUUAGCAUAUAUGCAUCGUUUUCAACAGCCCUUAAUUACUAUCUUUUUUAUCUUACAGGUCCCAAUUUGUGUGCUUUGUAGCAUUUUCUCAUUUUUCUUAAAAAACAAAUACAGCAAAGUUCAUAAAGUAUAGAAAAUUAGGCCUAAGAAAAAUAGAAAAUCGGAAAACAUACCAAGUGAACACCAUAUGAAUCGGCAGUUUAGGCUUCGCCUUUCCCCGUUCUCGUCUACUUCCCAGUGACGAUAGUUUUGAGAGGACCGGAAAUUUGGGGGAAAGUUUGUUACGAGUAAAUUACAAAUUUGGUCCCUUAGGUUUUGUUUUGUUACAGAUAUAAUCUAUUUAGUAAAAUCUAGGAUAAAUUACGAAUUUUGUACUUUUUGUAUUAUGUCAAAACCUAUGAUUUUUAUCUUUAUUUCUUCGAUCAGACUAUUCAUGUGUAAUGUCCUCAAAAAUAGGUCAAGCAAAUAGAAGCGAGUUAAAGUGUUUAAAGGAAGAAGAAGUGAUGUUGUGUUACUAUGAAAAAAAAAAUGAUGUCUUUAUAAAUACUAGUUGUGGGACCCAUGUAUUAUAUGGGUUGAUUUUUAUUUUUUUUUAAAAUAAAUAUAAAAAUCAAAAUAUUUGAGAACUUUGAAUUUAUAAGAAAAAUAAUGAAUUAUUAUAAUUGAAAUAUUUUUUAUCUUUUAAAUUUAAACAAGUAAUUUAAAUAAAUAAACAAAAGAAGUUAAUAAAGCUUUAAUCUUGGAAUUUUGAAAUUAAAAGGUAAGUUUUAUUAAUGAAAAUUUUCCACAAAAAAGAGGCCAUGAUUGAUGCACUAAAUAAGCAUCUUUCUUGUGGAAUUUUUCCAUGCAACUUCUCCCUAUCAAAUGUAUUCCUCUUUGCUAUUAUUCCAUGAAAAAUUACAAAAGUUGAGGAAAAACGUCUUAUCCUUUGAAGUUUGAAUUAGACAGAAUUUGGCAACAAAACUGAUCCGUGACAUGGAAUGGAGGAUAAUACCCAGGAAGAUGCACUAAAAAUGACCUAAAGAAACAAAAUAUAAAGAAGCAAAAUAGCCAGGAUAAUCAUGAAACCAUACAUAAAAAAAUAUAACACAUAAUUAAUACAUAAGAAAUUUUUAAUGUUUCCUAGGUUAAACCAACAUAAAUAUAAUAAGGGAUUAGUGCAAAAACCAACGCACUUUUAUUUAUUUAUAUAUUAAAGCAUCAUAACCCAUAAGAUAAUGAAUAUAGAAGAGCUUUUUAUUUUAUUUUUUUCAUUUUCUGUGGAUCAAAAUAAGUUUGUUUAUGGCCAAAGUCUAUUCCCCAAGGCAGAAGCAAGUGUAUUUGACAAGAAAUCUAUAAAAAAAAUGAAUUGAAUAUUUGGUAAGAUUACUAUUCAGUUAGAAGUCACUACACAAGACUUGGAAGUCUAUGGACAGUUUGUUUGUAGCCACAAACUGUAUAAAAAAAAAUGAAUUGUAUAUUUUUCACAAAAGAAAUUUGAGUCAACAAAAUAAACCUCCAAAUAACACGGACACAGAAAAAUAAUGCCAUGAUUGAUGCACCAAAAAUCUUCCUUAUGGAAUUUUCCAUGCAACUUCUCCCUAAAAAAUAUAUUCCUUUUUUAUUGUUAUUCCAUGGAAAACAAAACUAGUAUCAGGAAUUCAGGAAUGAAUAAUCAGUCUAACAAACAGUGGCAUGAAGUAACUAUAUUCAGGUUAACUUAAUUUAAUUAAUAUUAUCAAUUCUUAUAUAUGAUAAGUUCAAAUGUUAAUUAACAUAUUCCAUAACUGAUAUUUUGUAAUUUUUACAUAUGUACUAUCAUAGAAACAUCACAGAUUUAAUCUAAUGAAUGAGAAAGAGUGUAAAACAAAAAACAAUGUCUUUAUCAAUGCCAUAAAUCAUGAAGAUUUUAUUUUCAUUUCCUAAAAUAUCACUUCUCAAACAACUUCUGCUUAACCCUCAACUUUCAUUUUACCCUCAGUUGGUCCUCUAAGUUGCACUUCUUCAUGAAAUUAAAUACAGUAUGAUUUUGAGGGACAAUUCCAACCCAUUUAUAGGUAAAUGGACAGUCAUUAAAUGUUUAUUAAAAUUUAAAAGAUUAAUAUUUUACUUUUUUUAGAUUAAUUUAUAACAGCUUUCCUGAAAUUUUUACUUUUUACUAACUAAAAUAGGAUAUCCAUAUAUAAAGAUUUCCCUUUAUAAAACCCAUUAUUCAACCGAUGAAAAAAAAAACAAAAUACAAACAUUGAUUUUUCCUUCUAUUAAGUCGAUGAAAUAACAAUUCAACGGAAAAAACAAUAUCGCAAAUAUGCUUUAAGAUAAAUUUUCAUGAUUAUCAAUAAUAUCAAUUUAAAAGAAGCUUUGAAAUGGUGAAUCAAUAUUUGUUCAACUAAUUGUUAGAUACAUAUAAAAAAAAUUGAACUGGGCAUGUAACCUUUACACAUUAUUUGGUGCUCUCUCUUUAUUAGAACUAAUGCUGAUUUUUAUUAAAUGACAAUGUUGUUAUUUACCAAAUUUCAUUUCAUUUAAACGUCCAUAAAUACGAACUAAAAAACAUGUUGGAAUAGUUCAUUUCGAUCCUAUAGACCAAAGAAACAUGAUAGUGAAAUGAUAAUUAUCUAUCUUAUUGCCAUGUUCUUUAGAUUUCUAUGUUCAUUCAAUUAUUUGUGAUUCCACCCACGCCUAAUGCCCCAUAGAUCGUUUGAAUUGUAUAUGAACAACAAUCAAGUUUAGCUCAAAUGGUAAAAAGCACCUACCUGAGUUCCCUUUGUUGAAAAAUAGGAGAUAAAAAAUACCAACGAAAAACUAUAAGUUUUCAUUCAAUGACUUUAAAGUCAACAAAAAACUAUAAACUUGAUUUUGACAUAUAAAAGUUUUACAAAACUAACUUGAAGUUUUUGAUUAUUCAACUUUAACAGAUUAUGAGGAGACAUAAUCUCAUGUGGUAGAAGCAACUACUUUUUAAUAGGUUAUCAGUCUCACAAUAUAAGAAAUAUUGACUUGCAUAUGAUGGAUCUUGCUACUGCCUAUUUGUAGUUUUGUACUCCUCCCAUGAUACCAAUCUUUUAUAUAAACUUUUACCUCCCUCAAAAGAUUUAAACCACCAUAAACAAGUAAGAUGGGAUCUCAAGAACACUAUUUGAUCAAAUUAAACAAGUCAUUACAUAUUUUGUUGCUAAUCAUACAAGACUUGACUUUGGUUAAGACCCCUUUCAACCUUUUAAAGAUUCCAAGGAAAUUGGUGGUCCAAAGCACAUUUAAGUGUCAUUUAAACAAGUCAUUAAUAUAUCUUGCUAAUAAUAAGAUGAAUUAUUAAAAUCAUACAUAUACAUGUUAUCCUUUAGAAGAAUGAUAUAAUAGUUAAGUAUGUGAUCUUGGCAUCUUGCUAACAUAUAUCAUCAUUAAGUAAAUUAAAAAUUAAUAAAUAGAAAUUACAAUCUCAAUAUAUAUAUCAUCUAUCAUUUUCUUGAAAUUUUACCCAAUUCUAAAGGGAUUCCCGGGAUUUUGUUUCUGUUGCUGUUUUGUUGUGUAAUUGUUUAAAUCUUUGUUUUCUUCUAUUUUUUAAAAAACAUUACUGUAAUGAUUAUGAAACUUCAAGUGUUCCCAUAUCUUUGCUUUAGAAAUGUGUUCUUCAACUACAACAUCUCUUCAAAGUUAUAACCAGAUUUGACAGUUACCCAUGUUCUUUAUCUGAAAAGUAUUACAUCUGACUCGGAAUAAAUAAUUCUAUGUGGAAGAAGGUAUGUAAGACAAUGACUUUUGUAACUAUUAAUCUAUUAACUUAAAUACUUACACUUUGGUAUUUGGUAAUUUAUUUAAUUACUUAUUUAUGUUUUAUGAAUAUAUGUAAUUGAAGUAGAAAGUAAUUGUGGUCAACAAGAUUUUCUUCUAUGGUUACAGCACCAGUUAUUUUCAUGUUUAUUGUAGCAUUUGAGCAUCUAUUCGUUUAUCUCCAAAAAUCAAAUAAAUUCAUAUCAAUUUUACACUUGAUCGUUUGGUAUUCAAAAUCAAAGAAGAAGAACCAACUCUAUACCUAUGAUAUCAUCUGGCUAGAACAUGUCAAAAUAGAACCUAAUGUGAUAAUAUUGGAAGUAAGUACACACAUACAUGCUGGGUUUCCUCAUAACUAUUCCCCCAUCCUUGGAUAAACCAAAUAAAAUUAUACAUAAAUAAAUUGAUACAUCAUUUGUAAGAACUUUCAUGGAAUAUGAAGAAGAACCAAUUCUAUAAUUAUGCAGCAUUGCAAGAAAUGUUUUUUUUUUUCCAAUGCUGCAGCAACUAAUACUCUAGGGUUGAUGUGUACUGAUCAAAAUAAGUGAUUGGUUGGUUGAUAUAAUAUGAUACAAGCACUUGCGUAAGCACCAAAGGAUCUACUAAGAAGCAGGGGAGAUAAUUUAGUAUAAAGCAUUUGCUACAGAUUAUAUUUAGCAUUGGGAGCUGCAAGUGUGUUGCAGAACAAGGCCAUCAGGAUCAUUUGAAACAUAUAAAUAUAUAAAUGCAUCAUUUUUAAUGAUGCUAAAUUUCAAUCUUCUCUGUGUUAUGGGUCCCAACAUGUGAAAAUUAGGUCAAAUAGAAAAAAGAAGGAAAAAAAAACUUACGAGGUUAAUAUUGUCGACAACGACUGAGGAAUGAAGGAGAGGGAUGAAUCAACAAUUGAUGGCUUUGGAUUUUCCUUGUCCUCGCCUCUUCGCUGGUAGUGACGGAGGAUAGGGUAUGAGAACGCGAUCGUCGACGGAGGAAUAAACAAAAGGAGAUUUUGGGGGAAAUUGUGUGUGGGCCACGAGUCUUCUUGCUGUAAAAAAUAAAUUUUGGCUCAUUUGAAUUUUGCGUAUUUUGUGGUAAUAUUAAAUUUUAUUCGUUCAUCAUUUUUUAUGGUUUUUUAUAGACAAAACUGCACAAAUGGUCCCUGUGGUUUGUCAAAAAUUGUCACUUUGGUCCAAAAAAGUUUGGGCUAGCACCAGAGGUCCAAAGUUUUCAUUUUGUUGCUUGUUUGGUCCAAUCUAUUAUGAUUUUUUUCAAAAUGACGGAUUUGCCCCUGUUAAUAUGAUUUUUUUUCUUUGUUUCUUAAUUGUUUUUUUGAUUUUCAGAUUCAAAAAAAAUAAAAAUAAAAUUAAAUCUCUCUCUCCUCUCUUUCUCUCUAUUUCUUUCUCUCUCCUCUCUCCUCUAUCUCUUUCUUCAAUCUUCCUUCUCGUCACUCCUUUUUUCUUCGACUCCCAAAUACCAACUGUACCACCAAUUCCAAUAUCAGUCACAAACCGACGGCCGAACACCAUGGCUCCGUUCAACCCUGCAGUCUGGAAAUCAGACUGUUACUGUGCCCCGGCACAUGAUUCUCCGGCUAGGUGUUGCUGUGAUUCGGCACCGGCCCUACAACUUGAACGGAUCUUCACCUACUAUGUUGGGUACUAGGUUUACCAACUAUCUACAACUAACUGUAUACUCUGGCUAUGUACUGUUGUAGAAGAUUGAGUUGAUUUAGAGAGCCAAUUAAUGGAGGAAUUGGACCGGAGACUAAGCUAGACAUAAGGUCGAGCACCUGGAGUGCACCCGUCUUCUUCCUCAUGAACAUCAUCAUCUUCUUCCUCUCUUCAUAUUCCAACCAAUACCACCACCCAUCUCUGCCUCCGUCGAUAGUUGGGUGCUUUAGAACCCAAGAUUUGAGAUAAUUUGACACAAUGUUGUUGAGCCCUUGCUACUUGAAGUCGAUCAGAUCUAUCACCUUUCUUACUCUGCUUCCCUGUUAAUUACAAACACAAUCCAGUCAAUACAUUUAGAUUAGAGCACGCUUCUUGCUAAUAAGCACCAGUGAGGAGAUAAGUUGAAGAACGAGGGAGAUGGCGGUGAAGAUUGAUGUCGCUGCUAAAAUGAUAUUGGCGUUGAAGGUGGGUUUCAAUGAGAAAAGGGGUGGCAGAGCAGGAGGACCACGAUGGAGACGAUGGUGGUGGGAGCUAAGAGUUUUUUCUAGGUUUUUUCUUUGUAUGGUUUUCCCUAUUUGUUCUAAAUGAAGAUUCAGUAUUAAUUUAUGGUAAAAUUGAUUUUGAUUUUAUAAAAUCAAGAGAGAGAGAGAGAGAGAAAGAGAUAGAUGAGAGAGAGGGAGAGAGAGAGAGAAAGAGAUAGAUGAGAGAGAGAGGGAGAGAGAGAGAGAGAAAGAGAAAGAAAAGAGAGAGAGAGAGAGAGAGAGAGAUUUAAUUUUAUUUUUUUUUUAAUCUGAAAAUCAGAAAAACAAUUAAGAAAAAACCAAAAAAUCAUAUCGACAAGGGCAAAUCCGUCAUUUUGAAAAAAAAUCAUAAUAGAUUGGACCAAACAAGCAAUGAAAUGAAAACUUUUGACCUCUGGUGCUAGCCCAAACUUUUUUGGACCAAAGUGGCAAUUUUUGACAAACCACAAGGACCAUUUGUGCAGUUUUGUCUUUUUUAUAUUUUAUUAAAUUUCAUAGGAUAAUAAAUAGAUAUUAAUUUUAAUAAUUCACUUUCUAAAUUUAAAAUUUCUAAUUGGAGAAUUCAAUCAUAUUUUAAUGUCAUUAAAUUAGGAACAAAAUUAACGGAUGUUUUUGGUAAAUAUAAUUUCUAUAUCUUCCUCGUUAUAUUUGAUGCGACAUUAACCUCUGACGAUUCUUUUGGUCUUCUGCUGCUGCGGAGAUCUGCUAGUCACAAUCAGAGAGAUGCGUUAGAGUCGUCCCAGGGACUGUGCCUCGGGUGCGGACACCGAUGAUCAAGUUAGAUCAGCUGAUAGAUCUGAGAUGGUCCUAAAUAGCUGGAGAGAACCAUCUUGGUGCUGGUGGUGGUGUAUGGUGGCUGAUGGCGGCGGAUGGCGGUUGAGCCACCCGGCAUGUGUAUAGUGUGGCGGCUAAGCUAAGGGGAAGAUCCCCCUCCAUGGAGGAGGUACUGUUCAUUAUAUAGGGGACAAUUAGGUCAAGGGGAAUUAGGUCAGGCCUUGGGCCCGCCUAAUUCAGGCCCAACUAGCAAGGAGUUGGGCAAGGCCGCUCGGAGGCACCGGGCGGCGCUGGUGAGCGCGCACCAGGAAAGAUUGGCAAGGGGCACUAGGCAAAGGAGCAUCGGGCCGGGCCGGCAGGAGAGUCCCCAGCAUGGCUGGCAAGGGAGCACCAGGAAAGGCUGGCAAGGGGACACUAGGCAAGGCUGGCGGGAGCGCGCCAGGCCAAGCUGGCGCUUUAGAGUGGUCUAGGCCAUGCUAAUGUACCAUAUAUCAUCAAGUCCCCCCAGUCUGGUGUUAUUGGUACGCGGCCAAUGACAUCGGACUAGAACUAGUCAUAUAAACUAGCAGGAGAGUCCCCAGCGAGGCUGGCAAGGGAACGCCAGGCAUGGCUGGCAGGAGCGCGCCAGGCCAGGCCGGCGCAUAGAGCAGUCUGGGCCAUGGUAGUGGACCAUAUAUCAUCAAGUCCCCCCAGUCUGGUGUUAUUGGUACGCGGCCAAUGACAUCGGACUGGACUUAGUCAUAUAAACUGUGCGUCAUCAAGUCCCCCUAGUCUGAUGCGAUUGGGUUGCUGACAAUUGGAUCGGACUAGAUAAAGCACCAAUAUAUCAAAGAAUAGAGAGAACGUUCGAACCUUGCCCACGAGAGUCGUGGUGUUGCGUGAUGAGCCAAGCAUUACUUAUGUAGCCUUGACUAGAUACUCCUUCGUUGAGAGGAGUGCGAGGUUGCUAAAGAGUGUUACGCGACACUAAUGUCGAUAAAAUGUUUGGCCAGUGUAGCUAAGGAGUGUAAGCUCGCCAUACAGUCUCUAAGACCGUUAUUCGACACGAUUGUUGUGGUAUUCAUGCGCAUAUGGAGCUUAGCGUCCAACAAUCUAUGUGUCUGGCCCGGGUGAUCAGCUCGUGUUGAAGUGUAAUGGCGUCUAAUGCUUUGCUGUAUCACUAGUUUGGUGAUUGGUGCUUCGCUGUCUUGGCUAUCUGUCGAAGGCUAUGUAACGAUGCUACUUAGAGUUGUAUAAUGUAGUUGUUAUCGAGUGGUGCACAGCGAGACUGCCGUCGAGAGCUGGUCAACAUGGCCGCUGAGAGCUGAGCAUCGAGCUGCUAGCGAUACAUGAGCAACAUGACCACUGAGAGUUGGGCAACGAGUCUCCCGAGGAUUGAACCACGAGGCUGCUCUUAUGAUCUGGAAUAUGGGUGUCACCCUGGGGGUGCACUGUCAUGGACAACAUCAGCUCUUCCUGUACACUAACUUUACCCAUUCGGAGUAAAAAUUACUUCUGCAUAGUAUCGCAGCAACCCUACCCCCCCCUUUUUUUAAAGGAGACGAGGAAUAGAAACGAUGGAUGAAUAGUUGCAGGAAUUUGGGCAACACAGCUACUGAGAAAAGCUAAGCGACCCAAGUACCAACAAAAACUGGGCAGCGCAACUGGCAUGACUGCUGGGAGUCAGGCAAUGUAAUUGCUGAUGAUUGGGCUGCGCAACCGCUGGGAGUUGAGCAACGAGACUAGCAGGGGCCAAUCAACAUAAAUGGUGAGGGUUGAGUAGCAAGAUUGCUUGAAGUUGGUCAACACAGUUGUUGAUAGCCGCGCAACGCAGCUGCUGAUUGUUAUUUCGAAAUGAUUCACUAGUAGUAGUAGCGUAUUACUCUUCUCCCACCCCCCUCCCCUUUUUUUUUGGAAAAGUUGUCGAGAGUUUGAGUCGCAACGCAUUCUGAUGAGCGAAACUUGCGUUGCGCAUGUAACGCCCUGUUCUAAAAGUAUUCGUUCGUGGAUUUCAAAAACCAAAGCUAGGGGUGUUUUGGUCAUUUAUGGGAUUGGAGUUUAUUUUGAGAAGGUUUUGGGGCUGAGACAUGCUGCUAGAAGCGUAGGGCUUCUCGCCACCUUUCUGUGGAUAUAAAGUUCAUCAGAAACGGAUUUAGAAUGAAGAAGAUAUGACACUUUGAAGAUUUGGCAAUAAUGGCCCUUAAGGAGAAAAGUUCGCAUGUAAGGCCAUGCACGCAUGUUUGGAACACGCGUGGGUACGCCCAACGUAAGCUGGGUUACGCCCAGCAUACUGGGGCAACUUGGUCGCGGAUGUUCAAGGCGUACGCCCAACGUACAUGGAGGUACGCCCAGCGUAAGCUAAAAGUCAUGAAACCCUAAUUUUUGGGUUGAACAUUAUAUAAAGAACAUGUUGGCUUCAACCCUAACCCCAUUUCAGCCUCCCCAACCUCAGAAGAAACCCUAGAACAUCCCUACCCUCAUUUAGGUCAAGCACUACUUCUUUCGGAGUUUGGUGAGUUCUUGUGAAACAGCGAAGAAGGUUUGGGAUAUGAUGAAAGAACUCUAGUCGAGUGAUGCAGAUCUUGAGCAUUUAGGUCAAGCACUACUUCUUUCGGAGUUUGGUGCUUUUGCUCAAAAGCCAGAUGAGAAACUCUAUGUUGACUUCAACUUGACAUGCUCCUUUGGAUUGUUAUUUGGGUUUAGCUCUAACAAUGACUAUAUAGUUAGAAUAAUGGUUUUAUGUUUAUUGGGGUGAUAAAAGCAUUGCCAUUCGGAACCAUUCAUUUCAAAGGGAUUAUAUAUGAAUGGAUUUCUACAAGAACUUUCAUGUUUACACUAUGGUUUACUCUGCUUUGUUGCAUUUAUCAUUUUCACUGCACCAAUUGUUGUAGAAAUACAUAAAUAAUUAUGUAAAAACAAAAUCACACAUAUGUCCUUUUUUGUUUAUAUCGACACAAUCAUAAAACUUCAUUCAACAUAGAAAAUGUGACACUUAUGUAUAAAUAGUUUAUUCUUGUCUUAUAGUUAUUCACUUAAGGGAGGUUUUGGUUUGGUUGAAUUAGACUCCUAAGAGAUUUAACAAUGUGGUUGUGGCUCUUAUAAAGAAACAUUGUGUAAUCUAAACAACUUCAUGAUAUCCAAAAUGGUGGAAAUCAUAUUUUGUAAGCAUGGUAUAUCUUUCAUCAUCUUUAACCAUGUUCUUACUCAUAAAAUUGCUUUGUUUGAACUUUGACGGUUUUCGGAUUAUGUUUUACUAAUAGUCAAAUUUGAUAAAUAGUGGAACCUUAUUGAUUAAAUCAAUGAGAUUAACAUUAAAUAUUUGAUCAAUAGUGGAACCUUGUCAUAUAAUCAUCUGGUUAAUUGCUUGGUCUUCUAUGUUACAAAAUCAAAUUGAACAAGAUGAUGACAAGUUUCAAAAGAAACAAAGAAGCAUGGAUCGAAUAUAGGAUAAUAAUCUGCAUUUUACAAGCUAAAUGUACAACCUUUAAUAUAAGAAGUUCUCUAGCAAUUGUUUCAUCAUGGACUAUAUUUAAUGUACAUGAAAGGAAGAACAAUGUGUUGCUUUCUUCAAACACUACAUAAAUGAAUUCAAAACAACCUAAACUAUAUAUGAAGAUGAAAGUACUAUGGUGGCUUUUGUAACACAAGGCAAGAUUUCUAAGACUAUUUUCAAAGAGGGUCGGGGGUGGGGGGACUGAUAUCUUUUGCACAACCAAAGAACAAGAGCAAGUCACCAUCUCAUCUUUUUGGGCAGGACAAAAAAUUGCAAUUUGUCUCAUUGGCAUUAAUCCCGGUUUUAGCACACCAAAUAUUGGUACAUUUCUAUGUAAUAAAGGAGAUGUAGAAGAGAAGAAAAAUGAUACUAAAGAUGUAUAUGAGGAACUAAUCUUGGAAGAAAACUAUAGGAAACAAGUACUUAACUACUUUGAAAAAUAGAUCAAGAUAUGAAACAUAGAUCCAAAUAGUAGCAUUAAAACAAAAACUUCAUUGAUAACAUAUAUCCGAGAAUUACUUGCAUUCCAGAGGGCCUAUACAGCUUCUCUUCCUCUCUUGAUCUUGGCAACAACUGUUACCAUGACUGCAACGUAUAUCUUGUCCAUGAUUUUCUCAACAAACCUGAAAAUCUUCCAUCUCCAGUGCUUCUUCAACAACAGAACUCCAAUUACACCCCAAAACCCUGUUGCAAAUCCACUCAUUAUGUCCGGGUAAAACCACCAUACCUUGAUCGACUCCUCAGCUGCUUUAUGUUUCUUCUUGGGCUUUGCUGUUGUUGUUGGGUCUUGAUGAUCUGAGCAAUUGUUUGUCAAUGGAGGUCCACAAAGAUCUCUGUUCCCACCAUAUAUUGAUGGAUCAUCAAUAAGGGUCUGCAAUUGAUGGCCUGUUGGAAUUCUUCCCCACAAGUUGUUGUGUGACAGAUUCAAAUGACUCAAAAAAAUCAAAGUUGCCAUGCUUGGAGGGAUCAUCCCGGUCAACUCAUUGUUUGAGAAAUCAAGAGAAAAUAAUGCCGUCAAGUUUCCAAUGGUGUCUGGAAUAUUCCCACUGAGAUGAUUAUUAGACAAAUUGAGACCCACCAACAUAGAAAGUGCAGUUAUCUCUUUAGGUAUUUCUCCUACGAGUUUAUUGCUUGAAAGGUCCAUGUUAUAAACUAUAUCCAAAAUUCUUGUUUAUUCAAGAUCAACACCUUUCAUAACCUGAAUCACAUUCUCAUUAGAAUCAUCACCACCAUUACUGUCAUACCACUUUUCUGCACCAUUAACCAUUGCAUUCAACUCUCUUAGGCAAUGAGGGAUGAUACCCGUUAAGUUGUUGUAUGCAACAUCCAAAAUUUGAAGAUUUGACAUUUUGCAUAAAGAUUCAGGAAUUUCCCCGGUAAAGUUAUUCUUGUGUAAUCUUAAAACAAUCAAACUUGUCAGAUUUUAAUUUGAGUUCCCAUGAGAUUCAAUUUCAUUAUAAUCUAAUCUGACAUCUAAACAACACCUAUAUUACAAAUGUCAUACAUAUAUAAAAUCCAAAUAGUAGCAUAAAUAAGCACAAUAGGUGUAUUAAGAAGUAAAACAAUCAUAACUAAUAUACACUUAAGAAAUAUUGUCAAUGGUUUCCUCCACAAACGUGAAAAGCUUCUGUCUCCACUGCUUCAUGAACAACAAAAGUCCAAUAACACCCCAAAACCCUGUUGCAAAACCACACGUUACAUCUACGUAAUACCAUGUCUUCAACCAUGCUUUGGUAGGCGCAUCAGUUUGUUUGUAUUUCUUCUUGGGCAUUGUUAUUGUUGUUGUUGUUGUUUGGUCUUCAUGCUUUGAGCAAUUGUUUGUCAAUGGAGGUCCACAAAGAUCUCUGUUCCCACCAUAUAUUGAUGGAUCAUCAAUAAGGGUCUGCAACUGAUGGCCUGUUGGAAUUCUUCCCCACAAGUUGUUGUGUGACAGAUUCAAAUGACUCAAAAAAGUCAAAGCUGCCAUGCUUGAAGGAAUCAUCCCGGUCAACUCAUUGUUUGAGAAAUCAAGAGAUUCUAACCUCAUCAUGUUUCCAAUGUUUUCUGGAAUUCUCCCACUGAGAUGAUUAUUUGACAAAUUGAGACCCAACAACAUAGAAAGCGCAGUUAUCUCCACAGGUAUUUCUCCUACAAGUUUAUUGCUUGAAAGGUCCAUGUUAUAAACUAUAUCCAAAAUUCUUGUAUAUUCAAGAUCAACACCUUUCAUAACCUGAAUCACAUUCUCAUUAGAAUCAUCACCACCAUUACUGUCAUACCACUUUUCUGCACCGUUAACCAUUGCAUUCAACUCUCUUAGGCAAUGAGGGAUGAUACCCGUUAAGUUGUUGUAUGCAACAUCCAAAAUUUGAAGAUAUGACAUUUUGCAUAAAGAUUCAGGAAUUUCCCGGUAAAGUUAUUCUUGUGUAAUCUUAAAACAAUCAAACUUGUCAGGUUUUCUCCAAUCCAGUGGGGUAUCUUUCCAAACAAUUGAUUAUCACCCACAUCUAGGUCUUUUAAAUCUCUUAAAUUCCCCAACUCUUGAGGAAGUUCACCAGUAAAGUUGUUGUCAUUUAAUUUUAACCAAUGCAAUGAUGAAUGACUAAGUGCUAUAUAGCUUGGAAUGACACCUGAAAGUAAAUUUGAGCUAAGGAUCAUGGCACCCAACCCUUGCAGAUUCUGGAGACAUUUGGGAAUUGUCCCUGUUAACCUAUUUCUGGAAAGAUCAAGUAAAACUAAAUCUGUCCAUCUGCACAAGGACUUCGGAAUUGACUCAUUGAAAAUGUUAUUUGCCAGUAUCAAUGCCUGACCUGUUUCUGGAAGGUUUGUCAAUGGUCCGCUGAGUUUGUUGUGAGAGAGAUCUAAGAAAGCAAUGACAGGCAUCUUCCGCAACCAUGUGGGCAGAGGUCCCGAAAUUGAAGCAUUCGACAACACUAACUCAGAGAGCAAGAACUGAUUCCGUAGCCACUGUGGCAAUCCAUUUGUGAGAUUGCAGGAACUGAGAUCAAGACCAUCCAACUGGAAUGGAGGCAUCCACUUAUGUGAAAAAUUGCAUGUCAACUUCGUGUUAGAAGAAGCUUCCAAGUAACUCAACAUCGAAAGGUUAGCAAAAUGGGCUUCGGAAACUACUCCUUCUAAGGAAUUGUCUGAGAUAUCUAACUCAUUGAGUUUGGCAAGUUGCCCAAUUGAAACCGGAAUAGUCCCAUUUAACAAAUUUGAAGACAACCGAAUUGCUUGUAAUGAAACAAGUCUUCCUAGAGAUGUUGGGAUGGGGCCCGUUAAGUGAUUGGAUUGUAGAUACAAAGAUUCUAAAGCUGCAAGAUUUCCAAAGGAUUCUGGAAUUGAACCAUUCAAUUGGUUAUCAUGUAGAUCUAAUACCUCUAAGAAUCUUAAUCUUCCUAGAGAUUCGGGGAUUGGACCUGUCAAACUGCUCAUUGAUAGAUCUAAGUGUCUUAAAUUGGUUAGUCUUCCAAAUGCUUCUGGAAUCGUACCAUUCAAACACCCACUUAAAUCCAACCGCUCCAAAGCAUAUUGGGAGCAUUCUGAAACGUUUUGCGGUGGGUCAAUCCUUUCUAUUUCAAAAGGAUUUCCAUAUGCAGCCAAUGUUUUCAGGUGACACUGUCUCCAGAUUCCAACAUCCUCAAUAUUCUUAAACUGGUUAACAGAAAGAUCAAGCUCUAGAAGGUUAGCCAUAAUAGGAACCGAAGAAUGCAGCAUGUUUCUUGAGAGAUCAAGGACUCUUAAGGAACUCAUGUUACUGAAAACAGAUGGAAAUAUGCCUUCAAUUGAAUUCCAGCUAAGAUCCAGGUGUUGGAUGUUAGAAAGCAUACAAAGUGACAAAUGCAGCUCUGAUAAAGAAGGGAUCAUGUUUAGCACGUUUGCAAAGUUCCAUGCCAAACUAAGAUUAAAUUUAGAAAGAUCGAGGAAUGCUAGGGAUGUCAUGUUUCGGAAAAAUCCAGGGAGUGGGCCUUUGAAAGAAUUGAAGCCAAGAUCAAGGUGUUUGAUGUUGGGAAGUAUUCUACUCGAAUUAAGAAAAGGACCAAGAUGGGCAUUGGAAAGUCCACAACCAUGCAAACUUAACUCUUUUAACGAAGGAAGAUUGUAAAGCACCAUGCCCAUGUUCUUUGCUCCGCCAAGAUCCACCCAACUCAAGUCGAGAUGCUCGAGUGAUGAAAGGCCAAAAGUCCAUGACAUAUCAUCAUUCCAACUGAGAUCCAAAACCUUUAAAUUAGAAAGAUUUCCAAUGUAAGGAGGAAUAAUACCUUGAAAACCAGCAUAAGAGAGAUUGAGAUAUCUCAGCUGUUUGAAGGAGCCAAUGAACGUAGGGAACCGGCUUCCUCCAAAAUCAUUCUGACUCAAGUCCAGGUACUUGAGAUGCCUCAACUCAGCCAAAGUAAUCUCCUCUGAGAUUGAGGCUGUCAAUGGUUCCAGUGCGACUGCCACAAUGGAUUCUUUCCCACUGGCAACAAUCCUUACCCACCCAUGAAGACAACAUUCCGAAACCAUCUUCGAUGACACUCCCUUUGAACCUGAGAAGAGCAAGUCGUUCUUUCUGGGAGCAAACAACAGUGACAUUUCCAACACCCAAACAAGUAUAUUUGGUUGCAAACAAAAAAACACAUAUGAAAAUGAGAUGGAGCCCCAAACCCCACGGAUUCCCCAUUUAUCAACCCUCCCUAACUCAGUUUAAUUUAGAAGAAAGUUGAAGUGGAAAGAUAGUUUGUUAUGAUGAAGUGAUAGAUUAUUAUGAAGAAGAAACCAGUUCAUUUAUAAUGCCACAAAUGAAGAACAACUUAAUGCCAUGGAAGACUUGAAGUCAAUGGACAUUUGUACCCACAAGUUGUAUUUUUGUGGUCUGAUGCUAUCUUUAUUUCUCUCUUGAUAAAAAAAAAAAAAAAAAAAAGGGGUUUAUGGCCAAGUCUGUUCCCCAUGUCAAACAAGCAUUUAGAUUUUCAAGAUAUCCAAGAUAAUUUAUAAUCUUUUUGUAAAUAGUAGUUGUAAAUUAUAAACUGAAUUUUGAUGUCCAAUCAUUUUACACAACUAACUACAAGAAAAUAAUUUUUUGUUAUUAUUUGACUUGAAAAGGUUGAUGUGCCAAGCCCAAGCCUAAUUAAAAGAUACUUUCUUCUGCAACUCCAAAUUAAAGAUAUUAUAUCAUCUUUUAUAAAAAAAAAAUCCAGUCUUCUCAAAUGCAUUACGGUUUUAUUAGACAUGACAAUUUCAACCCAUUUACUUGAAAAUAGGCACUAAAAAUGACCUAAAUAAACAAUACAAAAUGAAGCAAUUAGAAACAGUUAGUCAUGAAACAAUAUAUACAAGGUUCAGGCAAAACAUCUAAUGCACUUGAAUUAGACAGAAUUUGGGAAUAAAACAAUUUAAACACAUAACAUAAUUAAUACAGGGGAUGAGUCAAGAAAAUAUCAAAAAUUAAAAAACAUGGAAAGCAACAUAACCCAUGAGAUAAUGUAUAUAGAAGAGCUUUUUAACGUUUCCUAGGUUAAACCAACAUAAAUAAAUAUUAUAGCAUCUCACUUUCAUUUGUUUAACCAUAACAUUGUAUUUUCAUUUUUUUUUCUUAUUAUGGCAUUGUGCUUUGAAAUGUGCACCCAGUUAUAACAUUGUUCUUCAAAAAUAAUUCUUAUUAGCAUGCUAUACUUUGAAAAUCAUCCAAAUAAUAGCAGUGAGAAUUCAAU